rnacentral:lncRNA from 1 species
CUCUUUUUUUUUUUUUUUUUUUUUUUUUUCUGUUGGGGGGUGGGUGGGUAAAGAGAAAAGAAAUCAAACAGGUCCAUUAUCACAACCUACGAUACAUUGCUAACCAAAAACUCUCUACUACACAAUUUUUGUACAUGCACAGACACACACUCUCUCUUUGAUAUCUCUAGGUCCCUUCUUGGUCCUCUUGCAAUCCUACUCUCUCCGUCCAAAGAGUGCAGAAUUAAAGCGUAAAGCAACAACGAUAGAAUUUUGAUCUUGGGAACUCUAAAUUCCAAAGAAUAAGUACAGCGAAUCAUACCUUAGCCUGAAAACAUCAAGCGACCAGCAAGAAGGAAAUUCCAUGCAAAGAAUCACACACUUAGUUAGUCUUCGAACAUUAAGAAUGCAUAAGAAGGUUAUAGGCAUCCAGCUGGCAUGACGCUUACCCAGUCAAACUUUUUCUCAGGAGGCCUAUCAGCUAGAAUGUCAAGGGGUAGGAUUGGCGUUGAGUAUGCUUCCUACAAUGGCAACCAGCAAAACAUUGAAGAUCGUAUAUAUUAUAAAUGUUUUAGACAAAGGAUGCUAAGGGAACAGAUAAUUUGUGAAACAGCCAAACCUGGAGGGCUGCCUUUGUGGGGACACGGAAAGUGAUAACAGCAGGUGCACCAUAAAACAGUGUUUUAACUUUGGCUUCUAACUCAAAGGAAUGUGCUAGAAAAGCCCCACUGCAAACAGAUAGAGGGCAAAGCAACCAGUAAUUAAAGGUGAAUAAGGUUUCACAAUAUCAUUUAGCAGGAGGGAAGUCCGGAACUCACGCAUCAAGCCUUUCCCAUGACAUUGAGGUGUUACCACCGACAAUGUCAAAUACAUCUCGGGACCAGCUAUCGUCAUUGAGAGUCACAUCAUAGGCCGUCCUGCAUAGAGUUUCAUAUACUGUCACAAGAAGCUCCGAGGAUAUUGAAAACCAGAGAGAGGGGGAAAACAAGAGAAAAAGUGUUAAAUGGAGAUGAUGCUUUGGAGCAUAUGGAGAAAGCUCAGCGGACAGCAUAACAGCCGGUGAAAGUCAAUUGAAAGCAACAACUUGAAGUGAUUGACAAGUUCAUUCCAAUGUUCGACAUUGAUUUUCACUUUGGAAUCAUGAAGAGAAUAAGAUAAUAUGUAGGAUACACUGAACUAUAUUAAACUCUUAGGUAAUGGCAAAAUGCAGAAACUUUAAACACGGAGGGAAAUAAUUACUCCUAAAUCUUUAGAAACGCAAUCGAUGAAUUAGAAUAGAAGAAUCAAAAUCUAGGUUUACGUCCUCCUCCAAAUUAAUCAAAAUUUCUAGUUCUAAAGUUUGUCACACUGGAAAUCUUAGUUUAAGAAAUUGUCCUAGUUUUGAAAUGCAUGAUUGAGUAGGCAGAACCAAGACAAGGGGAGAUAGCAUAGUCCCAGUAUUAGUUUGCAAACUCAUCAAAUUAAAAACAAAGGAAAACAGUCAAGAUUGAAGUUGCACCGAAGAAUCAGGGCAGGAAUUGGCAGAUCCCCCACCAACACCACCACCCCACCCCCCGGGGGGCGCAGGCGGUGGGGGGAGAACCGGGAAGGAGGGGUGUUUGGACAAGGAAAUCCAGCUAAGUAGAUAUGAGACGAGGUGGAAAAACACGUGACGAUUCAACAAUUGAGGUGAAAAAUAGAAACAUAGUAAGAAAAAAAAAAGGCAAUAAAUACAAAACAUAAGAAAGUAAUUGUUGGAAUUCGGCAACCAAAACAAAACAGAGCGUCGCACGGAUCACAUAAAAGAAACAAGUACUAGGACGAGUAUAGAAGAGCAAAGCAGGCAAGAGAAUGGGUACUACCGUAUGUGGAAAAACAGAUCAGAUCUGAUACGGUAGAUGAUAAGGGCUUGUUUUUUUUUUUUUGGAGAGAAAAGAGGGGGGGGGGGGGGGGAGCGGGGGACAAGGAAGUUGGGAGUUGAAACGUACGCAGAUCCUUGGUUGUAGACGUCGAUAGAGACAGAGAUACGUUCGGCGCCGGACUUGAGCCUGGUGAGGGUGGGCUUCUUGUGGGCCAGGAUGAAAGGUCCGUCGUCGCCGUUAGCCGGCGAUACUGAUACCAGAAAAACGAAGAAGGCAGCCAAAUGCCACCAGAUCAAUCCCGGAUUCGCCAUCCUCCUCUGCAUCACCAUCGUCCGAUACGUACACCCAGUCAGUUGUGAUUGGAAAAAAGAGAAACAAAAAGUCAAUUAGCACUGCUCAAAUCAAAUCUAUUCGUAGUAGGAGUUUUAUUAUUAUUAGAAAUAAAAGUGGUAAUUUUUUAUUACCCAGUAAAUAAUGGGGAAGUCGUACAAGAAGAAGAUAGCCGAGUCCAACGCUGGGUUGGGGAGAAAAUCCCUACCACACUACUACUACUAGUCUGCUACUGCUACUAAUAAUAAUACUUAAUAAUUUAGCAUUUCCGUUUUCAUCAAAAAAAAAUAUAUAUAUAUAGGUAAAUUCCAUUUCUCCACAUUGAAUUAAAACUAAAAUUUAUUAGUUAGUAGAAAAGAGUAUAGACCACCCACCGGCCACCACCAGCCAGCCAGCCAGCCACAGCACCAAAUCCAGUCGCCCACCUCGAUGCUACUACUACUAGUAUCUCUCCUCCUCCUCCUCCUCGUCGUUAAUGGAUGAUGAUAGCAAGUAUCAUCUGAUGAUAAGGAAUCGGGAGGAUGGAAUUGGGCGGACGGACGGAUGGAUUUCUCUUUCCCAAGUCCUCCCUGUCCCUGAAAUGGACUGUUAAAAUUUUUUAUUUUUUGUAUAUCUGCCUCCUUGUUGAUUGUCUGGGCGACAUUUACCACAAGUAGGAAGUUGAAGUCGUGGUUACUAGAAUAGAGAUUUUAAUCACUCGUGGCGUCAAUGACGGCUAGGAAUAGUAGUAUUAAUUAAUUUGAUUCCGUGCUCACAAAUUGUCCUCCAGCAAAAGCUUACAAAUUACACAAAAUACAAACCACACAGAGUUGAGUACUCUUCUUGUAAGUUCUAUCUAACAUGAGACUUGAGCUUGGAAGCAGCCACGAUGGUGAGCACAAACAUGCAAAAGAAAGCCAAGUAAGCGAAUGCAAGAGCCGCCUGCAGUUGAUUACAGAACCGGUGGAGGUACGUGCAGAAGGCAAUCCAGCUGCCCUGCUCCUGUCCAUAUUUGGCCAAAUAGCCAACAGUAGAACCCGCUGCACAUCCCGAUAUCACCAACAUCGUCAACACCUGUCAGCCGGAACGACGAUUAAAACAUGCGCUGCCUGGCUUUUUCAAAAACACAUUCAUACUACUACUGUCUACUGAAAGAAAAGAAAAGAACUAGCAGCAGCAGCAGCAUACUACAGUACUAAUAUUCUGGGGGAAGCAGAGUAGUAGUGAUCAUCAAGUACCAUAUCGUGCAAAAGCAAAUAGAAGUAGUUUCCGGGGGGUUCUGAUUGAGGAUGAGCGGAGCGGAGAGGGAGGACGAAGAGGAGCAUCGACAGAAAAGAGAGAGCGCAUACAACAGAGUUUGCUCCCAAUUGGAACCUGCGGAUUUAUUUAACAACACACACUCACACAUGAUGGAGAAAACACGAGGCAACGAAUAUUAAGAGAUCAUUAGGAGGAGUAAAAUUAAAUAAAUAAAUAAAUAAAAAUAGAAGCACCUCAUGGCAGAUGAGUAGUUGUAUCGGGCUGUAAAAGUAAGUAUGCCAACAUUCACUGUCUGCUUAGCAGUGAUCGUGAUGAUGAUUGCGGCCAAGGAGAAGGCCACCACUAAAGCUCGAAGGGUGAGUUGAGUGAUGACCAGGGCUUUCGUCCGCCACCUCCUCCUCCUGCUGCUCAGAGACUGUCCUUCAUGAUCAUCUACGGCUCCCUCUCCGCCGCCCAUUUUCGGUUGUGGUGAAGAUGCCGCCCUAACUGUAUAGUCUGCGUUUUCUCUUGUCAUCUGCAACUCCAUUGCUUGCUGACAGCCCUAAUAGUACUACUGCUACUGCUGCUGCUGCUGCUGCUGCUGCUGCGUGUUUUUUGUCAAUGCUGCUGCAUCUAUUACUCCUCCUUACAUCGUGACAAACAAUUUAUAGACCUAUAUCCGCUAGACUAGAAUGAACCCGGAGACAAAACCAGAAACCUUUUAAUUGAUGAAUAAAUCAAUAAACCUCUCCCUCCUCCCCCCUCCAAAAAACAAAAAAAAAAACUAGUUUUAGAAAUUAAUUAAGGAAACGACUCCCUCUCGUCUCUCGUCUCUCGACCGCUAAUCAUGAUUUGUAUGUAGACAUUUAUUUACGUGAGAAGAGAAGAAGAACCUUAUAAAUUAUUUCACAAACUAUUAGUUACUACUGCUUCAAAGAAAACGUACGUUAGCUUAUUAGUAUCAUCAGUCCCUAAUUGUUAUAUUAUUAUUGUUGCGUCCGUAUCUGUGAACCCGCAUUUAUGAAUACCGUAGCUGCCUACCUGCACUGUACCAUUUCUCUAUGACAGACAAAAUCAAUCAAGUGUAGCGUACGACCAUCUGCAUCUGCAUCUGCAUCUAUAUAUUCAAUUCAUGUACUUACUCUACCUAUCAUUAUAAUAUUAUUAAUAAUAAUAAUGAUAUUAACAAUACAACAAAAUCUCCUUCUUGUUUAAAUUACUUGACAAAACCACCAUUCUCUGGACGCUGCCACAAAAGCACCCAAACUUGGAAAAGAUGAGAAUGACAAGCGGCCGGGUCAUUUUUAGAAUUUAAGUACAAUAAUUUUUUUUUUACAGUAGUGUACAAAACUCUUUGAUGAUUUAGUAGUUAUCUAUCGGUGGUUUGUAGUAACAUAUUUCCUCAAAAGUAAAGCAUUAAAUCCCACCUUUUGGUCAAUGAAUCCGUUGUCCCUGGAGUGUGACCCAACAUUUUUUUCCUUAAAACCAAAAAAAAACAAAAAAUCACGUUGAACUGGUUUCGUCUGAAAGGGGUAAUCGUCAUUUAGAUUUAGCACACCGAACCCUUGCACUUAAAGCCAUGAUCCACGUCUUUGCUCCAUCAAUCAUCAUGUUUAAAUUUUUUAAAUUGAUUUGUCUGUUCUACUGAAUUCGUAAUAUAAGGGUAAAAUAAUUAAAUUUCGUGUUUAUUUUUAAAAUACAAAAAAGUUAUUCUAAAAAACACCAAAUUUGAAUUUUUUUCAAAAAUGCUUUUAACAGCAAUUGCCUUUUGGGUAAACCCGUGAAAUUAUCUUAUUCUACGGAAAAUAACAAUCCAAGCAAAGCUUUAGAUUCUAAGUGUGUGUGUGUGUGUGUUUAUUAUUUACCGUUGAAAGACAAAAGUGCUUUUAACAUUCGAAACUCUAACUUUUAUAUUUAUAGUUUGAUGUUCACCAAACACCUCAAAAGUAUUUUUAUUUUUAUUUUUUAAAAAAAGUACUGCACUCCUAAACAGACCCUAAUUCAUGUUCACAUUUACUUGGUACUUAAACCACAGUGUAGGAGGGAGGUAGAAGGUGUGGCGAGGAAGGAAUUCAAAAUAACUCGGAGAACCAUUAUGGUAAAUUAUUGGAAAAAUUAUUCAAAUGAAUUUUCUUCCAUCUUUCAUUUUUAAAAUGUUAAUUUUACGAUCCUUAUAAAUCCAAAUUAGCAAAUUUUGAUCUCAAUUUAAGUUUUCAACUAAUUUUAGUCUAAAAUCACUACGCGCAAUCAUUUUUUUUAUAUACAAAAACAUCAUAUCUCACUUUUUUAGUAGCAAAAAAUAAAUAUGGAUUGCGUCAUUUUGCUCUUUUUAAAGAGAAAAAUGAAUAUGGUUUUUUUAGAUCUUACUUUUUUAGGGAAAAACAUGGAUAUAAAUUGGGUCAUUUAUUUAAUUACAAAGCAGGUUGUAACUGUUUUUAUCCAUAUAAAAGUGAUCAUGCGUGAGUCACGCGGUAGCUUUAGAGUAAAAAAAAAAAGGGUCAAAAAUCAAUAUUGAAAUUAAAUUUUAUUGACUUGAUUUUGUAAGAGGCAUAAAUUUUAUCUGAUAAAAUACGAGGGAUAUUUUAAAUGAUUAUUGCUAAAUUAAUUACUGAAAAAUUUCACCGUAAAUGGUGGAGCAGCAUGUACCGUUGGACUUUUAAGCCAUGCGGAUAACCAGCAGCCGAGACGAGAGAGGUUACUUGUCCUUCGUCCUAUAUACACUUAACUUACAAUUCAUUUUCGGGUUUCUCUCAUCUUGGCCUUUAAUCUCACGCAAUCGCCAACCCAAAAAAAAGAAAAAGAAAAAGAAAACUUGAUUGAUUUGAACAGCCGCGUUCCUUCAAAAAAAAAAAAAAAGAAAAAAGAAGUCGCGUGGAGCCCAUUGGCAGGCAGAGAUUUGGCGUUGGCCCUACAGGACAAAGCGUGGCUUGGCAGUCGCUUUCAUUCGGAUCCAGGGCUCCACAAUUGAAAGGGAUUUGGCUCAAAUCAAUAAUAAUAAUUAAUGUCUCAAAUCAAUCCCGAGCUGAAUUACUGCCAAAAACAAAGAAAAAUGCCAACUAGUAGAAAUCAAUAAUGGAACAAUGGGGUAGAUAAGUCCCUCGCAGGACUUCAAAAGUUAUCGACUGAAGAAGCACGGAACUUCCCCGGACCGAGCUGGCUUGAUGAGCUCGGGUGUUGAUGGGAGAGCUGGUUCCAAGCCUGCUAAACGAACGAGGGUGAGCUAACGAAGGGGGCCCCGAGGUGGUCCCCGAGGGCACUCCGACGGUCAAGUUAGUUCUCCGGGGAGUAGGGGGAGUACUAGCAGUAAAGCAGACGGGGGUCAAUUGCCAAUAGUGAGCGUACCUUGUACAGUAAGUAUGUGUUACCAUUUAUACCUGCUGAAGAGUCCGACCUCCGUACGAUCCGGGACUUGCCGUGGAUAGCCCCCAGCCCCGCGCUGCGGGGGAUUCUUCCCGCCCUCUGCGGGGUAGCUCUCGGGCCCCCGGGGAGCCCUAGCCAUCGUGCGGUCUGGGCUGUUCCCCUAUGGGCCCGGGGUGCAAGCCCAGCUCGGGUAGACCCUGGGCUGCCACGUGCACGGUCCCAGGAUGGGGCCUCUGCACUAUCCCCCUAGGUUAGGUCGGGCUCCCAGGCAGACCUGAUCUACCACUUAGCCACGUGGAAUCCCAUCAUUACACUGCUCUGCCGCGGUCACCCCCGGUGCAGUGCUGACAUUGGAAGUGGCGCCCGCGUCCUUUCAGUUGUCGCGUCCCUUCGGUCUCUGUACCCCCAUUAAAUGUGUUCACAUGGGACGGUUCAAAUUCAAGUAACCGCUUUCCCCCCAUUCUGCCCCCCUAUAAAUAGUGGCUGCCCAAAAUCCGGUUAACUCUAUUUGCCAUUUUCUCAUUUUCUCGUGCGUUUCCAACUCCAGUAGUGCACUUCCGGCCAACAGCGCCCAGAUUCCGGCGACUUCUCCACCCCUUUCUUCACUCCGACCAUCAGUAAGUCCUUUCACCCCCUUUUCUCGCAUUUUCUUUCUUCCUUUUGCUAUCCUUUGCAUUUUAUGUCGGGCCUCUCCGACGUUACUUCCACCGCCUCUCAGACUCCAGUCCGUCGUAGAGCCACCAGAAUCUUCAUUUCCUCUUCAUCUUCAUCUUCAUCUUCAUCGUCUCCCUCUCCUUCUCCCUCUUCCUGCUCUGCUUCCAACCCCAACUUUCCCAUUCCUGAUUUACUUGAGCCCAUUGACGUCAUGAGUUCUCCAUCCACUCAUUCCCCUUCCGCCCGGCUCCUGGAGGAGGUGGCCGAGCUCGAUGCCCUCAUCGAGCAGCGAGCCGCUUCCGUCCCCUCCCCCAGGUCACCACACAACUCCCCCGGAGGGGCCCAGGAAGGAGCUGGGGAGGACAGGGACUCCUCAGAGGGGACCCCUACCGCCGAGCAGGGGGAUGACUCUGAAUUUAACUACGGUCACCCCGACCGGGAGGAGACCACCCUCUCGCCCGGGGCGGUGGCCGAUCUGGCCGCAUCCUUCUCUAUUCCUUCGGCUUUCGAGCCCCGAGCUGCCGGACCCACCGACCGGGCCUGCCGAACUCCCCCAGGCUUUGUGGCCAUCUACAAGGAGCAAUUGGUCGCGGGGUUUCGACUCCCCAUUCCUCCAGCCCUGGCCGAGAUCCUGAGCUACUGGGGGCUCAGGAUAACCCAGGUCCACCCCAACUCGAUCAGGAUCAUCGUCGGAUUCCUGAUCUACUGCCAGAUCUGCUCCAUCCCCUAUUCUCUCUCCCUCUUCCGUUCCCACUAUGCCCUCAAGGCUUCUCUCCCUGGGUGGUACUACUUCUGCCGCCGCUCUCCCAGCAAUCGCGACGGGAAGGGUGCCCAGGAUCUGCUGUAUGGGGUCCCUUCUUCCGUGAAAAACUGGAAGGGGGAUUCUUUUUUGUUAAAAACACGCGAUUCCCCCGCCAUGCGUGGAAGGUUGGGGGGGUCGGAGACGACCCCUAUCCGGAGGACUUGGACCCUGAGACCUUUGGCCAGCUGUUGGGCUCGGCGGUGAAGCUGUACGCAGCCAAAUUCUCCACUGAGCAGAUCUCCGCAGCCGGGCUGCUGGGGAAGCUGUCCGGGUCCCCGGAGGGUGGAGUUCUCCACUGCCGACCAAGGCACCUGUAAUACUGCUCCUGGUCCCUCGUGAUCUGCUCUUCUGUUAUUUGUAUCCUUGCCCCUUACAUUUCCUCGGCUUGUAGCACUAACCUGGUGCUGUUUUUUUUUUUUUUUUUUUUUGCAGUGAAGAGGCUCUCAAGGCUACUGGGCGCGCCGACUGAGGAGACGGCCUCCACUGAACAGCCUGAGGCGGCGAAGAAGGCCCCGGAGGCCUCGGCGACUCCUGGGGGCAGUUUGGCCCCCAGAAGGAGGCCUCCAAAGCUCAGUCCCCCUCCAAGCCAGCCCCCGGAAAGAAGAAGGCAACGGGGCAGAAGAGGGGGCGACAAGACGAGCCUUCCCAGCCUGGGAAGAAAUCUGCGCAGGGCCCAACCCAGCGCCCCCUCCUGCUGACAUCUGGGGGUCCUGUCCACCUGGGGGUAGGCUCCGCGGAGGAGCACGCCCAGGAGAGCGCCCCCCGAGCUUGUGGUACUUCCGCCACGUGGCUCCCACAAAGCCGGGGCAGGCCCCCACGAUGCAUGAUCCCCGGCGCUUCUGCCCGUCUUGGGAGCUCUCCAUCAAUGACCGAUCCCAAUUCCCCGAGGUGGCUCGCGAGUGGGUUACGGGGUCCGUCCUUCCCCGAGACAGGAAGUGGAUGGAGCUGGCCAGCCCGUCCGAACUCCAGGACGCGUACUGCACCGCCCAGGCCCAAGUAAGCCCCCUUUUCUACCUACGCCCCUUGGAACUUCGUCCCUUCCUUUGAUGAAAUGCUAACGUCUACUCUCCUCCUCCUAGGCCCAUGCUGCCGACGCCGCACUGCUGACCCGCUUCUCCGAGCUGUCUCCCGACUUGGAGAAGAUGCAGAAGAAGAAUCGGGAAACCGAGCAGAAGCUCGCCCAGGCCCUUAAGGAGGUAGACUCCCUUAAGGCCAAGUUGGGCAAGGCUGAGAAGGGGCUGGAGGACUCCCAGGUCCAACUCGCCUCCACCCGGUCUGAGCUAGACCAGGAGAAGAGGGGCGUGGAGAAACUGAGGGAGGAGCACGCCUUUGAGCUCUCUGGCGCCCUAAGCCGGGAGCGCAAGAAGGCUGUUCGGGACUUCCUCUGCUCCGACCAGUUCGCCGAUGACGUGGCCUGCCUCAAUCAGCCCAUCUUCCAGAUGGGCGCCACGCGGACCCUGGACAAGGUGAAGGGCCUCAACCUACCUGGCUUCAACUUGGCAGAUUUCAAGGACUACAAUCCCACGGCCGAGGAGAAGCUGGAUUGGCUCUUCGAUGGGUACCGCAAGGGGUAUGCCCUGAGGGAUCUGGUGGGGAGGAGUGAUGUGGGAGCCGAGCUGGCGGAGCUCCCCCUGGAGGAGAAGGAGACGCCUGGCAGGGCUUCUGGGAAGGAGCCCGUGGCCUAAGGCUGGCCACUCCAGAAACCCUUUCCGUCUCCCUAUAAGGAUGUGACCAUGCUCCAGUUGAAAAUGCCCUUGAGGGUCCAUCUGAGACGGAGAGCCUUAUAAGGAUGUGACCAUGCUCCAGUUGAAAAUGCCCUUGAGGGUCCAUCUGAGACGGAGAGCCUUAUAAGGAUGUGACCAUGCUCCAGUUAAAAAUGCUCUUGAGGGUCCAUCUCCCUUUUUAACAGCUUUCUCCACCCGACCUCCAAUAUGCUUAAGGUGCACCUUCAGCUCCUACCUCUCAACAUGUUUGAGGUGUACCUUCAGCUCCUGCCUCCAGCAAGUCGCCGGCCAGAAGAAAAGCGUGGCUAGGCCUCUCGCCCUGUAAUAGACAGGCUGGAAGUUCUGUAAUAGAUAGGCUGGAAGUUCUGUAAUAGAUAGGCCCUGAAUGUAUAUAUGAAAUUCGAAGGAUACUUUCUUACAAUUCUUUCCCGUGCCUUACUUGCGAUAACGAAAGCCAGAUGCCGACCUCCUGGGUCAGACGCUAACCUAGGAGUUUUAACUGGAGCCGACCUCUCAAGUCGAACACUCCCGCGUCAAUUACUAGCGUUAAGAGCUUAUGGUAUCGGUGCCGACCUCCUGGGUCGAACACGUUAAGAUUGUGCCGACCUCUCGGGUCGAACACCAAACCUUCCAAGAACACAAAACACCUAUUACCACCAAACCUUCCAAGUAUCCCCAUCGUGCCGACCUCCUGGGUCGAACACGUUAAGAUUUUAUGGUAUCAGUGCCGACUGAGCACCAAACCUCCAGGAUAGCCCUGCCGGCCUCCUGGGUCGAACGCCGAACUCCCGGACUCCCGAAUUCCAACGAACCCUCAAUAGUUCACUCGAAACUUUCAGGAUAGUCCCGCCGACCUCCUGGGUCGAGCUUCGGACUCCUGGGUCGAGCGUUACACUUUCAGAACCCUUGAAAGGCCUUUCAAUCGCACCGACCUCCUGGGUCGAACACUACCGCAUCUUCCUCCCUAGCCCCCACUAGGACAUUUAGUGAAGGAGCGCUAAGUGUGCUAGUGUUUAAAAAAAAAACUCAAAAGACAGACAAGUACAAACGAAACUGAAACUCGAAAGUCGAGCCUUUAUUGAAUGAUAAAAUUGAAAUUCCCAAGAAUCGGACAAUUGAAAAGCCUGGUCUAACCUACGCAAACACAGUCGCAGAUUGGAGAAGUGCCAAGUGCGGGGUACCUCGGAUCCGUCCAUCCUUGCGAGUUUGCAAUACCCAGCUCGGCUUGCCUCCGAGACCUUGUAUGGCCCUUCCCAAUUUGGAUCGAGCUUGUUGGAGGCAUGAGCUCGGCUGACCGAGUUUUUCCUCAGGACAAGGUCGCCCGGCCGGUAUUUUACGGACCUAACCCUGGCGUUGUGAUAGCGGGAGAUCUGACUUUUGUACUUAGCCAUUCGUACUGCCGCCUCCUCUCGCUUGGCCUCCAAUGUGUCUAAGUCGUACCUCAACUCUUCCUCGUUGGCGGUCGCAACGAAGUUCUGUGUCCGGGGCGAGGGGAGGCCAAUCUCCGCUGGUACCACAGCCUCCACCCCGUAUGUCAGAGAGAACGGGGUCUCGUGGGUUGCCGCCCUGGGCGUAGUGCGGUAAGCCCAGAGGACACUAGGGAGUUCAUCCAACCAGUUAGACUGGGCUAGCUCCAAUCUGGUCUUCAGCCCCUGCAGGAUUGUUCGAUUAACGUUUUCCACCUGACCGUUGGCCUGAGGGUGCCCGACCGAGGUAAAGUGCUGGUUAAUCCCUAGCUCUGCGCACCAGCUUUUGAAGGGGUUUUCAGCAAACUGUCGCCCGUUGUCGGAUAUCAGGACAUGCGGUAUUCCAAAGCGGCAGACUAUGUUCUUCCAGAAGAACUUCUGUAUUGCUUUUCCCGAGAUACUGGCCAAUGGUUCGGUUUCCAUCCACUUUGUGAAAUAGUCGAUGGCCACCACUAGGUGUUUGUACCUGCCAGGAGCUCGGGGGAAGGGACCCAGGAGGUCUAUCCCCCACUGGGCGAAGGGCCAAGGACUGUGGAUGAGGACCAUCUCCUGAGUGGGCUGGUGGCGCAGUGGGGCAUGUACCUGGCAAACUCGGCAUUUCUGAACCAGUUCUGCGGCAUCUCGGAAGACCGUAGGCCAAUAGUAGCCCAGGAGAAGGCACUUCUUGGCCAGUACCCGGGAGCCGACGUGUGCCGCGCAUAUCCCUUCGUGGAUCUCGCGGAGGACAUAAUCGCCCUCCUCAGGGGUCACACACUUUAGUCAGGGGGAUAAGUACGACCUCCUAUAGAGGGCUCCCCCGGCGUAGGCGUACUUAGCAGCCCUGAACUGGAUUCUACGAGCCUCGGUUUUUUCUCAGGCAGGGCGCCCGAGCUGAGGAACUGUAUGAGAGGGGUCAUCCAGGUGGCCGAGCUGUCUAGAGUUAGGACCUGGAUCUGGUCAAUACUUUUCUGCUUCACCACCUCUACCAGGACUUCCUUGCUCAGGUGAGCAAACGAGGAGGACGCCAGUUUCGACAGGGCGUCCGCCCGCUUGUUCUGCGACCGUGGCACCCGCUCAAUCUCAAAGAGGCUGAAAAGCUUUAUCGCAUCCUGCACCUAAGCCAAGUACUUUUUCAUGACGUCCUCCUUGGCCUCGUACUCCCCGCGGACUUGGUAGACUACGAGCUGCGAGUCGCUCCGGACCCUGAUCGCGGUCACACCCAUCUGGUGGGCUAUCCUCAAUCCUUUCAGCAGGGCUUCGUACUCAGCCUCGUUGUUGGAUGUCGGGAAGUCAAACCGGAGAGCAUAAGUCAGCUCUUCCUCCGUUGGCGAGGUGAGUAGCAGGCCGGCUCCGCUCCCCUCCCUGCUCGAGGCUCCGUCCACGAACAACACCCAAGGCUCUACUGGCCCGACCUCCUCCAGCAGAGUGCUCGGCUCGGUCGUGGACAGACUGGCGCCUUCCGCGAGAAAGUCGGCCAGGGCCUGGGCUUUGAUGGCCGUGCGGGGUCGGUAGCCGAUAUCGUGCUCGGCUAACUCGACGGCCCACUUAGUCAUCCUGCCUGAGACCUUGGGUUUUGUGAGUAUCUGUCGAAGAGGCUGGUCGGUCAUAACGACGAUGCUGUGGGCCUGGAAAUAAGUCCGGAGUUUCCGGGCGGCGUGCACCAAAGCCAGGACUAGUUUUUCGGCCGGCGUGUAUCGGGUCUCCGGCCCCUGUAGGGCUCGGCUGACAUAGUAUAUCGGCCUCUGAGCCCCCCUGUCUUCCCGCACCAGAACCGCGCUAACGGUCUCGUUGCAGGCGGACAAGUACAGGAACAAGGUGUCCCCCUGUUCUGGGGCGGUCAGGGUGGGUAGCUCGACCAGAUACGCCUUGAGGUCGGCGAAGGCCUUCUCGCACUUCUCGGUCCACUGAAAGUCUUUGGGUGACUUAAGGAUCCGGAAGAAGGGAAGCCCCCUCACUGCGGACCGAGAGAGGAAUCUAUUCAGGGCGGCCAUCCUUCCCGUGAGUCGCUGGACCUCCUUCACAUUCCGCGGAGAGGCCAUGUCCAUGAUGGCCUGGAGUUUCUCGGGGUUGGCCCGGAUCCCUUCUCGGGAGACCAAGAAACCGAGGAAUCGGCCCGACCUAACUCCGAAGGUGCACUUCUUCGGGUUCAACCGCAUCCGACUUUCCCGGAGGAUGUUCAGGAUCUCCCUCAGGUCGGGGACGAGCUGGGGUCCUGCCCGGCUCUUGACGAUCAUGUCGUCCACGUAAACCUCCAUGUUCCUACCGAUCUGGUUCUGAAACAGUUUGUUGACCAAACGCUGGUAGGUAGCCCCAGCGUUCUUCAGUCCGAACGGCAUCGUUCGGUAGCAGUAGGUCCCUUCCUCGGUGAUGAAGGAUGUUUUUUCUCGAUCCUCCUCGGCCAUCUUUAUCUGGUGGUAUCCCUUGAAGGCAUCUAGGAAACACAAAACAUCAAAACCAACAGUGGCAUCUACUAACCUGUCUAUCCUUGGCAAGGGGAAGCAAUCCUUCGGAUAAGCUCUAUUGAGGUCCGUAAAGUCGACGCACAUCCUCCAGGACUGGUCCUCCUUCUUUACCAGAACCGGGUUGGCCAACCAGGUCGGGUAGUAGACUUCCAUGAUGAUUUUGAAUUCCAGCAACUUUCCAACCUCCUUCCUGAUCACCUCAUUCCUCUCGGGGGCGAAGUUUCUCUUUUUCUGCUUCACCGGUUUGAAGCGAGAAUCUAUGUUAAGGUGGUGGACGGCCAGGUCGGUCGGAAUCCCGGGCAUGUCCUCUACCGUCCAAACAAAAACCUGGGCGUAUUCCCUCAAGAGGGCCUUCAGGUCGUCCUUCUCUCUGGGCGGCAGUGACGCACCAAUACGGACUGUCUGGUCAGGCCUCCCAUCUUUCAACGGAAAGUCCUCGAUCACAUCCGGUGUAUCCAGUUGCCGCUCCUCCUCUCCCGGGAUGUAGGGCUCCAACCUGGUUGUCUGAGCGACCACCUUCUCAGGCCCCCUGAGCAUGGCUAGGUAACAGGUUCGGGCCACUUCUGGAUCCCCAUGCACCUCGGCAAUUCCCCCAGGGGUGGGGAAUUUGACGCUGAGGUGGAGUGUUGAAGGAAUAGCUCGAAGGGCAUUCAAUGUAGGCCGGCCUAGAAAUAUGUUGUACGGGGACGGCUGCUUGACCACCACAAAGUUGACAAGGAUGGUCCGGCAUCUGGGUGCCUGACCAACUGUGACCAUCAGGGGGAUCAUUCCCUCCGGGCUGAUGGGUGGACCCGUAAAGCCUACCAGAGGUGUCCGCACAGGGGUCAGCUGUCCAUCCUCCAGGCCGAGCUCCUUGAACACCCGAUAGAACAUAAUGUCGACCGCACUCCCUUGGUCGACGUACACCUUCUUCACCCGAACGUUAUUGGUGACGACGUCUAUCACGAUGGCCUCAUGAUUGCCAGAUGCCAAGGGGACCGCAUCCCUCGGUCCGAAGGUGAUCUCUUCGUCCAUGCGCAGGCGUUUUAGGGAGUCGUCUCCCGCAGGAGGAGGUCGCUUAUUUUUUCGAGCUGUAUGGCUGUCUCCCCCUGUGGGACCGCCAGCAAUGGUGUUGAUCACCCCGGCCAAGUUCUGGCAUCCUGGUCGGGUGAAUAGCCACGGGGUGCGCCACGCCGAUCAGGUCCCGGUGCUGACCCUCGUCUUUCUCUCCACGGUAGGUGCGUCCCAACUCUUGGCCGGGACGGCCUUGACGUACAAAUAGACCCAAGAAGCCUCGCUGAACAAGGUCCUCGAUCUCCUUCUUGAGGGCCCAGCACCCCUCAGUAUCGUGCCCGACGUCCCUGUGGAAGGCACAGUACCGGUCCUGGUUUCUCUUAUUCCGAGGUGUGCCCAUUUUAGGCGGCCGGUCUCCCAGGCCCUCCGUCUCCAUGACAGCCAGGAUUUGCGCCCUUGGCCGGGUUAGGGGUGUGUACCCUUUUUCAGGGAGCGACGGUUGAGCGGGCCCUGUCCUUGGAGAGGCGAUCGAAGACGUUCUUCCUGACUUGGCCGUCCUUAGUUUCAGGGGGGUUUGCUCGUCCUUUCCUGUCCCCGAACUCCCGAUCUGAUUCCCGUUUCAGGCGGCCGGCCUCCUCUGCGUUAGCAACAGCGUGAGCCCGGUUCAGGAGCUCUCCCAGAUUCUUAGGGGGCUGCUCGACGAGCUUGUAGUAGAGCUCCUCUACCCUUAGCCCGUUCAUGAAGGCAGCCAUGACCACCUUCUCAUCUUUGUCCCUGAUCUGCAGGCUUUCCGUGUUGAAGCGCGUCAUGAAAUUCUUCAGGGACUCAUCCGGCUUCUACUUGACGGCCAUCAAGUGAGCCGCGUUUUUCGAGUAAGUCUUCGAGGAGACGAACUGGGCAGUGAACUGCCUGGCCAGCUCGGUGAAAUUCCGGAUAGACCCCGGCGCUAGGCCCUAGAACCAGAGCCGGGCCUUACCCUUCAGGAACAUGGGGAAGGUCUUGCAACGGAGUGCAUCCGCAGCGGUCUGCAGACGCAUGUGCGUCAUGAAGACCGAGAGGUGGUCUUCCGGGUCCGUCGAACCAUCGUACAGCUCGAUGUUCGGAAUUUUGAACCUCCGAGGUAGCGGGUAGUCCUCUACCUCUCGGGUGAAGGGCAAGGCUGCGUAGUUAUCCUCAUACUGUUGUGGCCACAGGAUCUGCUCGAGUUCGUCCCGGACGGGUUGCCGCUGAGGAGGAUCCCGCGGUCGGCUCUGAAUGGACCGGGCGGGGGAUCGCUCCGGUCCGUUCCCCGCGAACUUCCACGAAGAGGGGUUCCUCAAGCGGCCCCCGGCGGAUCGGUCACGAGAAUACCUCUUGCUGUCCCCUACCACCGAGGCUCGCGGCCUGGGAGGAGUCCGCGGUCGCUUCCUCCUGGGGGCUGGUCCCGUGACUCGUCCUCUGAGGGGAUGGGGAGCGAUUCCUUCUCCUUUCCCUUCGCCUUAGAGGUCUGCGCACCGCCGGCCUCACCCCCUCCUUCGCUUGCCGGAUUAUGUCUUCCAGCAUGGGGAGGUUUUCGGUUACAAAUUGGUAUAUGUGCUGUUUCCGUUCCCCCGAAAGGGUCGAGCCCCUGGCGUCCCGGGCCGCCUCGGUCUCCAGCCGCCGGAUCCCUCGCCGCCCCGGGAUCAGUGUUGUCCAUGGUUCGCUUGGAACGCGUUCUCGCCAUCAACUCAAAUACUCGUACCUUCGGGUUCCCACAGACGGCGCCAACUGAAGAAGCACGAAACUUCCCCGGACCGAGCUGGCUUGAUGAGCUCGGGGUGUUGAUGGGAGAGCUGGUUCCAAGCCUGCUAAACGAACGAGGGUGAGCUAACGAAGGGGGCCCCGAGGUGGUCCCCGAGGGCACUCCGACGGUCAAGUUAGUUCUCCGGGGAGUAGGGGGAGUACUAGCAGUAAAGCAGACGGGGGUCAAUUGCCAAUAGUGAGCGUACCUUGUACAGUAAGUAUGUGUUACCAUUUAUACCUGCUGAAGAGUCCGACCUCCGUACGUUUCGGGACUUGCCGUGGAUAGCCCCCAGCCCCGCGCUGCGGGGGAUUCUUCCCGCCCUCUGCGGGGUAGCUCUCGGGCCCCCGGGGGAGCCCUAGCCAUCGUGCGGUCUGGGCUGUUCCCCUAUGGGCCCGGGGUGCAAGCCCAACUCGGGUCGACCCUGGGCUGCCACGUGCACGGUCCCAGAAUGGGGCCUCUGCACCGACUUUUUAAGUUAUUGUGGGAAUUAGAUUUAUUUUCAAAAACAUGCUUUUGUAAGACAAUGGAACAAGUUAGAAAUCAAUAAUGAAUGGUGGAUAGAACUUUUAGACUAAUAAACUCCGAGAAAAAUAAUCUAUAGACUGAUGCACGCAUCAUCGCUCCAUCACAUAUUUUUUAUUAUUGUCUUACAAUUCAACCCUACGCCUCCAUAUUUUCCUUUGAUAUCGUCCCAAGCUGUCCAGCGCAUAUAUAUCCUACUUUCAAUCAAUCGGAUUAUUUUUAUGGAUGGAAAUAUUGGACGGUACGCCGCCCAUUGUGACCUUUUUCUUUUCUUUGUGUGUGUGUGUGUGCGUGUGCAAAUAAUAGACUGCCAGAACAAAGAGAGCGGAAAUGCAAAUCUUGACUUGAAGAGUUCUGUUUUGGAGGCUGGGAAUGCCAUAUGAUCCCAAAACAUGCGGAAAAGACAGGAAAUAGGAAGAAAACCAAAGAGUCCAGAGAUAGAGAGAGAGUCGUCUGAUGACCGUUGUUCGCCUGUGGGCUGGGAGUUGGAUGGAGCCUGGAGGGAGUGGGUGGCAUAUAAAUAAUACACUAGUUAGUUGUGGUAGUACAGUAAAAUGAGAUGAUCCUGAUAAGACACUUGUUGUGUUGUGGUAGGCUCCCAUUCCUAUUGGUAAUAAAGACACUAGUGGUGUUGUGUUGUGUUGUGUUGUGUUGUAGCAAUAUAAGGGCAGUCAAACUAACGACACAGAGGCGCAAUCAAAACAAAAUGAUUGGUCCCUGCUCCUACUUUAACAGCCUAUCUUGUUUGUCCUAAAUCCACAUUUAAAUUGUACUCAUUACUUAAUUAAUUAGGAGGCCUAGCCCGGUGGAGACGGGAUCUCGAGUCUCUACUACUGCUGUCACCGGUGUCUAGGAUCCAUGGCGCUCAUGGGAAGUGGGGUGGUUGCAGUUGCACCAGCUUCCUGCUUUUGGCCCUGUACAGAUGAUAUCUACGGUCACCACAAAAUGUCCUCCAGUUACCCAAGAACAAGAAUAUGUGGCAGAAGAAGAUUAUUACCGCGAUACUCCAACGGUUCUAAAGCGGGUGCUUCAUCGCUGAAUUGCAGGCAACCGAUUGUCUCAGCUGAACCACCACCACCACCAGGACAAAGUUCGGUACUCCUCCCCCCGACAGCGACAUCGACAGCGACAGCAACAGCAACAGCAGCAGGCGGCAGCCCCAUCUCUCUACUACUACUACUACUACUACCAAGCAAGAAGCAGCAGCGGCAGCAGGAGGGGUUGUGAUGAGUCCUGGUUUAAUAGACUACUUUCAAGUAUCGGAGGAUUUGGUCCUCCGAUCCGAGGCUGACGGUGGGCCUCCGCGCUGGUUUUGUCUCUUGGACUGCCACUGCUCCUCCUCUCACUCUGCCUCUUCUUCCAAAAACCACAAUCCUCUCUUGCUUUACUUACCAGGUCAGCGGUCACUGCCUACUACUACUAGUAGCCAUCCAGUGUGCACCAUUAGCCAUGUUUACUAAUGAGUAAUGCUGGUCAAAACGUUUUGGUUUGUGCCUAGGACAUCCAUCCAAAACGUUUUGAGCAACUAAUACCAGAAGAGAUUUCUUUUAUACUUUAACCCACAAAAAGUACAGCACUUUUGCCCACAAAUAAAUAGUUUUUUUUUUUUUUUUAAAAAUAAAUAGUUCCUCUUUUGGCUGUCUGUCAAAAAUAAGUAACAGAACUUGCGCGAAUUUGUAGGCAAUCAUUUUAGCAUGAAAAUUAGUUGUAAUUUCUCCGCCCUCAAAAGUAUUAAAACAAUGGUGUAAUAUUGGCGAUGAAUCUUCAGCUGGCAACCUAGUCUUCAAUUUUUGAUUUAUUUAUUGAAAGAAAGAUAACCUAUCAACAGAGUCUUUGUUGGUGGAGAAAAAAAGAAGACAAAGUGGUACUUUUAUAUUUGUCGAGUUUCAGAAAAUACAUGAAGAAGGUUAGUAAUGCAGGGGUGGACGGUGUUGGAUCCGGACUUCUGUUGCAAUGCAAAAAACUAGGCGAGUAAGUCCUUUUUUGCCAUCUUAUCAAAGCUAUUAAGCAGUUUUGAUGCGUACUACUACCAUAUUAGCUGCUAGUACUUUUUAUCUUAGUGAUUAAAAUAUGGAGAAGGACAGUGUAGCUGAUGCUUUUUCUGUUUUCGUUCCUCAAUGUGAAAGGAUUUUUAACGUAUGGUGCUUGCACAUCCCCCUCUCGGAUCGUUCAUCCUUUUCAGGUCCUUUCUUCUCUCUCUCAAGUCUCAACAUUUACGAGUCUAUCACAGUAAGUGAAAAGUCGGGAAAAAUGGUAACACAAGAGCUUGGGGUUUAGUUCUUUAUAAUUUUGGUUUUGGUAGUAAGAGAAGUAAGCAACUGCUAGUAGUGCUACGUUUUCUUAGACAGUCUAGUGUUAUUAUCUCAAUUUUGUCACCGCUAUGUACCGUUGCAUUUCUAGACCUGGUGAAGCUGGUUGAGGAAACGGUCAGGUCAGAGAACUCCCGCAGACCCCACACACCUGUAUAUCUUGUUGGAGAAUCUUUGGGGGAUGCCUUGCCCUGGCUAUUGCUUCCCGAAAUCCCGACAUUGAUCUCGUCUUAGUUUUGGCCAACCCAGGUUUUGGAACUAUAUUUUUCUUCUCUUGCCUUAAAACAUCCUGUUUCUUUUUCUUGUAUUGCUUGUACAAUUCAUGGCAUAAUAACUUGAAUUUCUGCUCCACUUUGGUGCCUGGCAGCUACGUGUUUCAGUAAAUCCCAGCUGCUCCCUCUGCUACCUUUCUCACAUCUCAUGCCCAAGGAGAUGAAUCCGAGCUUGCUUUAUAUGCUAUGUCUAUCAUCAGGUAGGUGCUCUUGCCUCUUUUUGAUCACUCAGCAUUCAUUCCAAUUACCAAGUUGUCAUUUCAUUAUGUGCUACGUUUUGAUGACUUACUUCGCUUUGCACUCAUCUCUACUAUUACCGAUAGAUUGACACAUAUCCCUUUAAAGACAAGCAACAAAGUGACAUGCUCUGUCGUAUUAUCCAAUAAGACUACUUUGCCGUACUUAGGUAUCCUUCAAGAAUGGCCAUGGGUGCUCUGCAGAAAAGCCUCCCCUCGAACAAACAGUUGGAGAGUUGUCUCAGGCUGCCAGAGCGGUAUCAUCCUAUAUUUCUGUGAGUCACAUCUUUUCUAUCCAUGGACUUCUAAGCAUUUAUUUAACUGGUUCUCUUGUCAAGAAUGCUAGAGAAUAAUCUACUGUUUUCUCCUAGACAGAUGAUUUUUUUUCUUUUCUUUUUCUUUUUCCUCAUGUUGUUCUUUAAUCAAUAAUGCCACCAUGGGCAUCUUGAAGUUUCCUCUCUGUAGUUAUCUAGCUUUUGACAAACCAGAACGUGGUUUUCUUUUUUGCCAACCAUGCAAUAGACUAGAUAGUAACAAGUCAGAGACGGCUAAUAUAGUUUCUUACUUCUGUUGGUGUUAUUCAUCAUGAUGCUGCCGGAAUUUUAUUUUAUACUACAUCAACUUCAUUUAAUAAUGAGGGUCCCAGGUUCUGGCUGAUCUUUUAGGUGUAGAAACCUCAAUUGGAAACUGAAGAUGCUCAAAUCAGCUGAAGCAUUUUCAAAUUCACGUCUUCAUGCUAUCAAAGCUCGGACUCUAAUCCUUUCCAGGUCUCCCUCUCAGCCUUUUAGGCUUUCACAUCUAAUUUCACUUACUAAAAGUAAUUUAUAUGAAGUUUCCUUUCUGUUUCCAACGAUUCCAUUAAUAACCUUUUAUUUUCAUAGAAUUACCAUCGUGGUGAGUCUAUUGCUCAAUUACAAAAUUCAAGAAUGCACAGAGUUGCUGGUUUUCUGCAAAUUGCUAAACUAUUGCUUACCUUUCAACUCUGUUGAUGGGGUUGGAUUAUAUAUCAAUGUAGUGGAAGAGAUUCAAUGUUACCAAGUGAAGAAGAAGGAGAAAGGCUUCGUCGCUUGUUGCCAGAUUGUCAAAUCCGAACAUUUAGCGACAGAGGUCAUGUUCCUUUCUUGGUAUGAUACACUCUUGACUUAGUGAUCUUCCUUAACCCUCGAAAGAAAGAAGACAAACAACAAAUCUUCUAACACCCCUCUCUGUCUCUAUCUUUGCUUAACAAUUGAUCUUUUUGGGCGCUAAUUUGAAUGGUAUAUACAGGAAGAUGGUUUCGAUCUGGUGACAAUCAUUAAGUGUGCAAGCUUUUAUCAACGUGGAAGAUGCGUUGAUUAUGUUUUGGAUUACUUGCCGCCCAAACCUCCUGAAUUCGAACAAAUAUAUGAACCACACAGGUAUGAUGGGUACUGAGGGAGCAACCUGAAAAUCUUGAUAUCUUCUUUUAUAAUUUCAGUAUAGUCAAUUAUAAGGGUUCUAAAGAAGCCUGUCCUUAAGAAAUUCUUUAUUAUGCGAAGUUUCAUGACACUGUUUCGACCGAUCAUGGGGAACAAGCUUUUUUUUUUGGAUGCUUCUUUUUAAAUUACCGACAUUUCAGUUCCACGAAAAGGAUAUUUGAAUCAGGAAUCUGUAGUAUGUUCUACAUUUUUUGUCAUGCCAUUACUAUGGUAGGUUUUUCUCUGUCUUCUGGAUGACCAAGUGACAGUUUAACAGAGGUGUUUGCGUGAAGAUAGUCGUCAAUUGUCAAUACACCGAUAUGAUACUUCUUUUUGGAAAUAGAUAAUACAGUGUAAGAUAAUAUUUUCUGAAAUGUUGAAUCCUUUUAGAUAGUUUAUACUCCAAGGUUUCUCUGCUCCAGAUGGACCGAGGUGGCAUGCAAUCCGGUGAUGCUUUCGACAUUGGAGAAUGGAAAGAUUGUUCAGGGCCUUAAAGGGAUUCCUUGUCAGGGACCAGUUUUAUAUGUUGGUUAUCACAUGAUGCUAGGUUUUGAGUUGAUCCCUCUAGUAGCACGCUUUUGGAUGGAAAGAAACAUUGUUUUGAGAGGCAUUGCACAUCCAAUGGCAUUUAAAAGGUUGAAAGAUGGAAAACUACCUGAUUUGUCAACAUACGAUGCAUUUCGAUUUAUGGGUGCAGUUCCAGCAUCAGCAACUACUUUUUAUAAGCUUUUUUCUACAAAAUCCCAUGUCCUAUUGUAUCCAGGGGGCAUGAGGGAGGCUCUUCAUCGAAAGGUAAUAGAUAAUUCCAUUAAGAUCCCCUUGGGUUAUUAACCGUAAUGACUACAUUAUGCCAGGUAUUGUAUAUUUGACUGGUCCUGAAUUGUGGUGUUGUGCUUUGUCACAGCGUAGCUUAAAUAAUCUUCUGACUCUCCUUCUUUUCACCAGCUUUUGGUAGAGAACUUGCCCUUUCUCGAAAGAGAGUAAUCUGUUGGUUGUUUUCCUUUGAGAAGGAUAAACGAAUAAAACCAAGUAAUUUCCGUAGCAUAGAACUGAAAUUCCGCAUUUUUCUACUUGUGUAUUUCUUUUUCAGGGUGAGGAGCACAAAUUAAUUUGGCCCGAACAGUCUGAGUUUGUCAGAAUGGCAGCUAGAUUUGGUGCAAAAAUAAUUCCUUUCGGAGCAGUUGGAGAAGAUGAUUUUGGCCAAGUUCGUCUGAUAGUUUCCACUUCUUAUCCUAUCACUUAGUUGGUAGAAUACAAUUGCUGCAUUAAUUUUUUGUUUACUCCAGAAAAAUUCAGCUUUUUUUUUUGUUCAGUAUUACUCGGACCAUGUUCAUGACAUUCCAACACUCAAAGAGUCUUGGUGUCAAUUCACAGAGCUUUUCCAUUGGAGUCUUUAUUAAGCCUAGAAUUUUAUGUGGAAUUUCUUAUCAAGAGCUUUGCUCUAUAUAUUUGCUUUUGAAGAAGAUUAAGUGGACGUAAUUUGAGUCUCAUUUCACUUUUCAACUCCUGUUUAUUGACAAUGCUACGUAGAACUUCCACUUCUAUGCAAGAGAACCUCAUAUCACUACUAGCUGUUUUGAUACCUUCAACUUUCUAUCACUGGAUGGGCCCUAAUAUAGCGUGUCUUUUUCUGUUCCUUCUCAGCUGCUUUUUGAUUACGACGACCUCAUGAAGAUCCCAUAUUUUGAGGCAUUUACACGGGAGCUAACUGAUGAAGCAGUGAAUUUAAGGUGUCAUAAUUUGCUACAUUAUGCCUUGACCCUGAGAUUUUCCUUUUUCUCUUGGGGAACGAAAGAAAAUCCUUUCAGAACUUUUGCUAAAGAAACUUGCUGUACAUCUGUGCUUGUUGUAUUGUUGAUACAUGGUCAUGUUGUUCAUUUCAUCUGGCUUGUGAAAUUGAGAGACUAAGUAAAAGAGUCAUUUCAUGAUCUGGCUUUGUGACAAAAGAAGUGAUCGUUAUAGCAUCAUUCAAGUGCCCUUGAGUAGCUAAAUGACGGUGGCUGAAUCACUUUACUAUUCUAGUCAACCCAAUGUGCAACUACCAGUUACCUGUGUUCUAUUAUCAGUUUCUUUCCUGAUCCUAACCUUGUGAUUCGUCAUUGUUUUUUUGUCUUGAAGUUGCUUGCCUUUUUGUUUGAUAUGGUUUCUCUAUUAUGCAAAUCUAGGAGUGAACGUGAAGGAGAGAUUGCUAACCAAGAUAUACAUCUCCCUGUCAUUCUACCCAAGGUUCCUGGGAGGUUAUAUUUCCUCUUUGGGAAGCCAAUUGAAACAGAAGGUGAAGUACCCUCUUUUAUUUAUUUACAGUUCUCUCUUCUGGGCCGGGGCUGCAGAGAUAUAUUUAGAGGGAACAACACAGUUACAGACGCUUUGUGCAAGCAUUUGACAUGCCGAACAAUGUAGAAAAAAGUAGUGUUACUGGACUGGACUUAAUUCAGAGAGAGUGCCCAUUAACAUUGGCAGAAUUACACCAAUAUGAAUAUGAAUUCACCUUAAAGUUUAGAGAGGUGUAAGGUAGUCGGAUCAGUCAUGGUUGCUGAUAAAGAUCCGUCUUAGCUGUUGAAACCUAGCUAUUUUGUUCUUUUUAAAUGUUUGUUUAAAUUAGAGCGUGUUUUGAAGGUGCCAAAGAGUGUGUUUGUUGUUGUUUAAUUGCAGGCAGGAAGCAGGAUUUGAAAAGAAGAGACGAAGCCCAGCAAGUAUAUAUUCAGGUAAAAUCUGAGGUCGAGAGUUGCAUUGCAUACUUGAAGGAGAAAAGAGAGAACGAUCCGUAUCGGAAUGUAUUGGCUCGAUUGACUUAUCAGGCUGUGAAUGGCUUCGAUGCUGAGGUUCCUACUUUUGAGCUUUGAUGAAAAGUUUUUGGGGCAAAGUCCAAGCCAAGCGACUAGGGCAAAAGGGAAUAUUCCGCAGUCAAUUUAUUAUGGUAAUAUCAGGCACAGUUACUACAUGUACCGUAGACCUAUCAAUCCAAUCAUCCAUCUGAGUCGGCUUUUAAUUAGUUUAUAAGGUUCGGCUCAGCUCAUGUAUGUAGUUAGUUAGUAACACUUUUAGACUUUGAAUUAUGAGUUUCGAAUUGAGAAAUGUGAAACUCACACUCGAACUCCCAAAACAUUACGACUUUGAGUCUAAUUCGGAUUUAGUCCAACUCACUUAUUACUCCUUAAUCAUUUUAAUUAUUAAUGAGUAUAACUAUUAAGUUGUAAAGUCAAUUUAACAUCCACAACAUUUAAAAAGUAUACAAAUCAAGAAUUUUUCAACAAUAGUUAUAUCUAAUUGAUUCAAAAUGCAUGAAAAAUAGUAAUAAAACAUGAUCAGCAGUUAAUAUAUUCUCAAAUGAGUUGAAAUUUCUCCGUAGCCUUCUCAAUUUGUUCCUACUAAUUAGUUUAUCCACUUCAUUUGUUGGCAGUGAAUGACCCGAGAGGAAUAAGAAAGCUGCCAUUUUAUUGUGAACUAGCAUAAGUCCAACUAAUCUUUAGCAAUGGAGGAAUAAGAAAAUCCAGAAUUCCACAAUCUUUCGUAAGAGGUCAAACCCUGUAUGCUCAUCCAAGCGUCGGACAACUUCAAACUGAGAAGUCUAUUAGAUUCUGAUCCUAAAGUUUUUAACUCUAGAUUCACAAGCUACACACAUGCCCUAUCAUCUGAAGGGAAAUUGGCACCAUAUCUUGAACUAUUAUAAUUUUUAACCAAAAACGACAACCAAUCGAACUACAAUCUAUUAUAUUUGAUUCUAUCAUUUUAAAUAGAGACCACAGAACAAAGAAUGAAUUAAGCGCUUGCAAGGGGAAGGUGUGCCUAAAUUAUCCAUAUGCAAAAUUGAAUUCCUUUGCUCUUAUAGAAAUUUCGCUAGAUUUUGAUAUAUUUUGACAUUUAGACACAGUAUUAGUAAUUAUAUAUAUAUAUAUAUAUAUAUACACACACAAAUUAACGGAUUGGACCUUAAUCGAGAUGAGUCUAGCAAGAUUCAAAUUUGGCUCAUAUUGAAUUCGAGUCUAAAUUUUAGUUCCCACCUCUGCCCAAUUCAAUGAAAGGUUAAAUUGAUCGGACCUUUUUAAACCGAACGAGUUGAGUUCAAGUUGGUCUAGCUCUGUUAAUAGUCCUAAUGUACCGUGGUAUCCCUUUCCUCGCGCUAAUUCAACGAGUUGAGUCUAGCAAGAUUCAAAUUUGGCUCAUAUUGAAUUCGAGUCUAAAUUUUAGUUCCCACCUCUGCCCAAUUCAAUGAAAGGUUAGAUUGAUCGGACCUUUUUAGACCGAAUGAGUUGAGUUCAAGUUGAUCUAGCUCUAUUAAUAGUCCUAAUGUACCGUGGUAUCCCUUUUCUCAUGCUAAUUCAACGAGUUGAGUCUAACAAGAUUCAAAUUUGGCUCAUAUUUAAUUCGAGUCUAAAUUUUAGUUCCCACCUCUGCCCAAUUCAAUCAAAGGUUAAAUUGAUCGGACCUUUUUAAACCGAACGAGUUGAGUUCAAGUUGGUCUAGCUCUAUUAAUAGUCCUAAUGUACCGUGGUAUCCCUUGUCUCAUGCUAAUUCAACGAGUUGAGUCUAGCAAGAUUCAAAUUUGGCUCAUAUUGAAUUCGAGUCUAAAUUUUAGUUCCCACCUCUGCCCAAUUCAAUGAAAGGUUAGAUUGAUCGGACCAUUUUGGACCGAACGAGUUGAGUUCAAGUUGGUCUAGCUCUAUUAAUAGUCCUAAUGUACCGUGGUAUCCCUUUCCUCGCGCUAAUUCAACUACGUACGUACUACUUGUAAACAAAACAAAUGGUAGUACUACUAAAACAUUAAUCAAGAUUGUUGGUUGCACGGGGCAAAACGUUUUGAGUUUCUUUUUUUUUUUUUUUCUGGUGUCUGCUCCGGGAGUGUAAAUGUUUAGUUUGUAAUGGGUUGAGACGUACGGAAUACAUAUUGUACACGUUGAAACCCAUAGCAAAAAUGCAGCAGCUGCGCAAUAACACAAAUUAGGUGGGCUUAGUGCGGUGAAUCAGUCAGGACUGGAGUUCGUUCAUGGAGCAUGCAGAUGUGAAAGAUGGAAUGUGCACGUAAAUCACGACUUGUGGAUUAAUGGAUGAUGUUAGAGUGGAUAAUUGUGUCAAACACGAGGAUGAGGAGUUGAAUUCAUGGAUGGGGUGGCAGAUGGAGAUGGAUUAUAUAAUAUACUAAUACGGAAUCACGUAAACUAGCACACACUCAUUCAAUCUUAGCACCCUCCCAAAUGUUUCGGAUAUUAUCAUUCACAUUUCGUCAAAUUUCAUCUGGUCAUGCUUUACUUUUAAAAAUAAUAGUGACUUUACGUUUCUUAUAAAAUUAGAUCAGUAAAAUUUGAUUCCAAAGUAAGUUUUCGACCACUUUUUACCUGAAUUGAUCAUGUGACUCACACAUAGUUUUUUUUUUUUUGUUCAACAGUAAAAAUGUUAGAUCUCAUUUAUAGUUAAAAAAAAAAUUGAUUCGACGCAUAUUCAUUUUUAUCCCAAAAAAAAGUGGGAUUUGAUUCAAACUAUAUACAUUUUUUUCAAAAAAACAACAAAAAGAAGAGAUUGGAUUCAAUCCAUAUUUAUUUUUUGUCAUUAAAGAAGUGGGAUUUGACCUUUUCAUACGUAAAAAAAAAAUUUGCAUAUAUAUAUAAUCUUUGAGAUAUGCACAAUUAACCAGAGGGGGUGGGGGGGGGGAACUUACUUGCAUCAAUCAAUCAAUAGCAUCAGCUAACUGGUAAUGUAGAUACCACAAACAAAGGAGUUGAAAUUAGUUAGUAGUCCGUAGAUAAAAGAGUUUAGGUGAAUAGGGAAUAAUACAGUAGCAGUACCAUGUACUACUGCAUGCAUGAUCAAACGUCAGGAUAUUCUGCUACCUACGUACUAGCUAAGCUACCUAGCCUCUGCUAACCGCGGAUAGAUGCAAAGUUGGUGAGUACAUAGUAGUCGUAAUUUGUACGUACGUGUUGCAAAGCAUCUUCCAUCAUCAGUCUUGAAUACUGCAGCCCCAUCCUUUUUUUUUUUUUACGAAAGUUAGAUACAUAAAUCUAAUCUCAGAAGAAACCUCAAAAGCCGGCAAUUUUUGAGGUCCUCCCAGGGACUUAUAAACCCAACCCCAAACCCCCCAAGAACCGAUGUGGGAUGGCAAUCCCACAAGGGCAAGCCAGUAGGCCCGCUGCUACUAAGAAGUGACGACCCCCACGAAACCCAGUAUAACUACCCUUGCAGGAAUUUGCCUCUUGACCUAUUCCUAAGAAAUGGCUUUUUUUUGACGAAAGUUAGAUACAUAAAUCUAAUCCCAGAAGAAAUCUCAAAAGCCGGCUCCAUCCCAUCCCUUUCAUUCUUUCUUCUAAAAUGUACUGCGUACUACUACUAACAAAUUUAAAAGGCUAGGCACAAAUCAAUCAAUGAAUGAAUUAGUGCUGGUUGGUUAAUUAAUUGAGAAAAAUUGAAACUUACUUAAAAAAGGAUUUACUACAAAGUUUAGUGGAACUCACUCCUUAAUUAGUCCUUACAAAAUUCAAGUUAGAAUUCACAUGUCUCUGAUCUGAUCAAGAAAUUAGGAAAACAAGAAUCUAUUCAAAUCAGCCCUCGCCCAGGCAGAUCGAUUGGUUUCCGUAGUCCCCUCAUAAGGGGCAGGUCACUGGAUCGACCCCCGGGGAGCUAACGCGCUGUGAACCUUGGGGCAGGGCUCUCACAGCUGCAGAGAAUUAGUCGGGCCUAAUGGUCCCGAACACCCCUGCGUCGACAAUAAAAAAAAAAAAAAACUAUUCAAAUCACGUUAAAAUGUUCAAACGUACGUGAAAUGAAAGUGCCCGCUGGGGGCACUGUACUGUACUGUACUGGUGCCAAAAAUAAACAAAUCAUGUGAGUGAAAGCGCAUUGCAUUGCAUUGCAUUGUUGUUUUGAUCACAAUUCACAGAGAAAGCGAGAUCAUAACUCCUGUUAAACAACUCAUGUAACAUCAAACAUGCAUCAACGUCUCCUUCGAUUAAAGUAUAUAGUAGUAAUUCUAAAUCAAGCGAGCGAAUAUCGAACGAAAAAAGAAGAAGAAGAAAGAUUCAAAAGUAGAAGGCUUAAUGAAUUAAAUUCGUGCAAUCAAUCCUCCCCUCGAUUGCUAGUACACGUACGCAGCCUAGGCUAUAGUUGAUCAAACUUAACAAAGUUGAAUGAAUCUACCAAAAACAAAAAGACAGAGAGAGCGGGAGGAGUGGUUUUUUUUGGGGGGAGAAGGAGGCGUUGAGUGGGUGGGGUGAUGCUGCAUAUCCAUGCAAAAGUGGACUGGAUUCUCAAAAAUCUGCAAUCAUAACUGGUAUCCGUUGACAGGCAAUUCAUAAAUGGAGGGUAAGGUCCAAGUUACUAGUAGCAGUAGUAGUAGUACAAGAAGUAGUGUUGGAGCACUCCAGAUCGACUAUCGUAGUCCACGACGCGGAUGAGCCGGCAGGAAUAAUGUGAUGAAGUUCAGGUGCAGCAAGAGGGGGCGGAGGAGGAGCGGCGAACCCGGGGAAGGAAGGGAAUGGUGGCGGAGAGGCAUGAUCAAGCGGGUGUCGGUGGAGUUGGCGGCAGCAGCCGUAAGACGAGUUAGAAGAAGGGGGGUUUAGGUCCAAGGAGGAGGGGAGGGGAGGCGGAUUGGGCGAUAUUUGGGGAGGGUUGCGGGAAGAAAAGGAGGAGGCGGCGAAGGAAGUCCUGCGGGCGGCAGCUCUUUCACGCUUGUGGGCGUUUUGGUGGCCUCCCAAAGCUUGAGAAGUGCAGAAGUUGCGGGAACAGUAGAGACAGGAGAACAUUCGAGGAGGAGUGGAGGAGGAUGAAGAGAGCGGGUAGGGUUUUGGUUUUGGUUUUGGUUUUGGAGGGGGAUGAUGGGGUUGGGUUCUGCAGCAGGUUGCGUGAUGAAGUCGUAGAUGAUGUUGGGAGUAGUGGGAAAGUGUGGAUGAUGAUGAUGAUGGAGGUGAUGAGGAGGUGGCUCCGCCAUUAUACGCACAGAGUAUACAUGAAUGAGGAUGGCGCCGAUGAUGACUGCACUCACUUCUUAUUAUAUGUAUCUACAUUCCUAUGUAUACAUGAAUCUCUGUGUGUGUGUGUGUGUAGAUACAAUAUAUAUAUAUAAAUAUAUGUGUGGGACGUAGAGCCACUACUACUGGUCUAUAGUACAAUGCUCUUUAACAACAACAACAGCAACGGCAUUCGAUUGUUGUGUGGAUUAAUCUGUUAGUACGUGCAGUGCAUCAGCAGCAGAUGGAGGAUAUAUAUAUAGUUUGUUAUACAUACUCCCUGCUCCUACUGUUAUUAUGUUAAGUCUCUGGCACUCGGCCAGCCUGCAACUACUACAGUACUCCUCCAUUUGUUUUGUCUGUUUGUUAAGAAGAGUAAUUUGUUUGUUUGUUUGCUUGUCUGUUCUGUGGACGCUAAUGGAUCCUCCAUUCACGACGGAGGGGAGAUGAGGUGAGGUGGUGGCUCUGGAGAUGCAGCCAAAGUACGGCUAGUCCUCGUGUCUGUCUACUACUUCUGCUAAGUGCUAACUCCCUUCCAUGCCCUUCACUACUCCGCUCCACCUGGCAUGUAAUCAUACGCUUCUCAAUUCCAUGCAGCAUCAUCAUCAUCGCCAUUUCCACACCUGAGUCCCGACCAGCUCUCUCAAUUUCUUUUACCAUUUCCCCUAGCCAAAAAAACAAGGUAAAGAGAGACUUGACUUGUUGAUGAUUAAAGAAGCAAAUCAAGAAAAAGGCGAAAAGAGAGAGAGGCAGGAGGAGUCUAAAAAAAAAAAAAAAAACAUUACACUUACUCUUAACACUUACACUUGGAGGGGAAUCAUCAAAUUAUAAAAAAAAAGGACGUACGUACAAAAGCAUAAAAAUGGAAAGGACAGCAAGUGGUAACAUUCGAUCCUUUAUUGGGCGGAGUGGCAGUUAUGUCCAACUCCUCCGAACCGGAAAUGAAAUGAAUUUGUGUCUUGCGCACUCAUCUCUCCCAUCUUCUCAUCCAUAUCAUCCAUCAUCACAUGACCAAACGCAUGCGGUAUUGCUCCUCAUUUUGCCAAAGGGGUUCGUUUUUGCAAAUUGCAAGCAAGCAUAGGAAAAGCAUGGUUUGCCUUGCACUCCUCCUCCUGAACUUCAAAUAUAUACACUUAUUUUCCUCUUAUAUUGGUUACUCAAAUAUCAAUAGUAACAUAAUAAUACUUUCCAUCCCAAAUUUUGAUAAAAAGACGUUACUACCCGUGCAGAGUGGGUGUUGGAUAAUACUACCCUUUUUAAACCGGAAUAUAGAGCACUUUUGUAUAUUUUCUAGGCCUUGUAUUUAAAUCGAUUUACUAAUUGUUGAAAAAAUAGUCAUUUAUUAGAGAUUACAAUUAUUAUAUGCAUUCAACAAUUAGCCAGGGGUAUUUUGGUCUUGUAAAAUAUAGUUUUAUCUUAACCGUGUUAACAAUGAUGUAACUAACCUUAAAGGAUAAAGCGUACAUAUUUGAAGUUUAGAGGGAUAAAAUGUCAACCAAGUUCCACGAAAUUCUGGAGAGGAACACAGCCAGCCUAACCUGCACCCAGGGAGGGAUUUCUGAUGGCCAACUCGGUUCUAAUGGAUGCUUGGUUAGCAUGUUUGUUGUUUCCUAUAAUGGGACACUGUACUAGCUAGGGAACAUGCAUGUAUGUAUGCAGAAGCAGCAGACUAGCAGCAUAUCAUAUAGCUCCUGGCUCUCCCGUUUGAUGGCUUAAAAGCACCAUCAUCCCUUUUGAGGUUGUAACACCAGGCUAAACACAUCAUCCUCCUCCCUUUUGAAGUUGUACUUCCUGGUACACUCGUGCUGUCAGAAGAGACCAACACAGAAACAGAGAGAGAGAGAGAGAGAGUGAGUGAACGGAGGGAUCUGAUUGGCCAGCCAGUUACUCGCACGUCGCAACCCACAAUUGCAAUCAAUCCACGCAGAUGCAGGCUGGACUUCUUUAGGUGGCAUGAGUACCUCGUCACGCAUCAAAAAUUCACUCUCACGUUUGAACACAAGCAGAUGCAGCCAGUAAUUCUGGUCGUUUUAGUGAGAGAGCGAGAAGACAAACAAUCCCAGAAAAAACACAAGCAUAUGCAUAUCCCAACAGCAUAAACAAAGGUCAUUUGAACUGUAAUUCCAAAAGAACUCGAAAACUUUUCGACUCUAACAAUAAAGUUCAGUCAUUACGAUUAUGUGGAAACUACCAAUAUCACUGGAGAACAAUUAAUCAAAUAUAAACCCACCAUGACGAACUUCAGCCUUGUGUCUGACAUUCUCUGCUGACCUCAAAGCUUUAUAUCAGUCGGCACAACCUAACCAAUCUUUCUUAUACUUACUUUCAAAGAUCAAUGACUUCUCAUCGUUGCACCAUUUUCUUCUUUUCAAAAUAGGACUCGGAUAUAUACCCGCCAGAAGGAAAAUAGAACUGGCUUCAAGGGCCUUUUUAUCUGUCUGGAAUAGAGUAACCUGAGUGAUUAACCGACCAAACGUCCUAAUUCCUCAAGUUUUCCAACCAGUCAGUACAGAUAUCACUGUAAAUAUAGGAGCAACCCACUUGAUAGAAUUUCUUUUCGUUUCCACUAUAUCCUUUCUUUUUUCAGUUUUUACAGGGGAAAGUGUGUUACAGGCUAUCUGCACGGAAAGGGCACUAAGAUAAGGCAAUAUAUAUGUGUAUAUACACACACACACACAAAAACAUGUGAAUAAAUCGAGACGCCAAUCUACUCGUUUCAGCUGAUGAUGUCAAAGUAUUUUGGAUCUUCUGGAAAAUGAUACUCAAUGUUCAACUGCCAUGACAAAUCAAGAAAACUCAGAUUAGAUAAGUACAUUAAAAAAAAAAGUAUCUAGCUGGUUCUUGUAUCUAUGUAACAACAGCUCUAUUACAGAAGGUACAAAUAUACGGGUAGAAAGGGGACUUAGGAAUAUAUUUCCUCAUCAAGUAAAGAAGAUAUGUAGAGCUGUUAAUCGAGCUGAGUCGAGCUCGAGCACAUGAUAAUCGAGCUCGACUCGAACCUCUAAUCGAGCUAUCUCGAGCUUCACAAGCUGUUCGAGAUCGACUCGGUGUACACGGUCGAAAACUCGAGCUCGAGCUCAAACUCGAAUUCAAAAUCAAGCCGAGCUCUUCGAGCUCGUUUGGGAAAUGAAAUUAGGGCAAGAUCGAAAGAGGAAAGAAAAAAUUAGGGUAGAAAUGGGAGAAUGAAUUAAGUAAAAGUAUCAAAUACACAAUGAAAUGACGCUAAUGACCCUAUUAUUCGAGGCUGUCGAGCUUAAACGAGUCGAGCAUAGCUCGGCGCUCGUCUAUUAAACGAGCCUAAAGUUGAAUUCGAGCUCGGCUCGUUUCUCUCAGUAAACGAGCAGAGUCCAGCCCUUAUCGAGCCGGGUCGAGCUCGGCUCGCGAGCUACCCGGUUCGAUUAACAGCUUUGUGCAUCAUAGACAUUCAAGAUAUGAACUUUCAGGUUGCUACAUCACCCUGCUUAUCUAGCCUUAGACCAAUUGAAAUGAACAUGUUUGUAUGUCACCCAAUUUAUCCUUCUUAGGACAGAGAAAAAUAAUCAGGUGUGUACUAUGCACGAGACAUUAUGUUGUUCUCAACCGUUAUAUUUGAGCAACAGGAAGGGCACUCCCAAAUCCAACAGUACCAGUUCAAAGCUAGAAAAAAUUUGAAAAGAAAUAUAUGCCAAACAGGUUUUAAAACUUCCCAAAAUUCUCAGAAUUUGAGGACCCGAAUUAUUUCUAGCACAGUCCUAUCAGACUUCAAACAGUCCAAUACUUCUAACAUCCAUAGGUACGAAGUGAUGCACUUUACACAUACAUGCAACACUUCAAGGAGGUCAGUGCAAUCACAUAUAGUCGUGAUAAUGUUUACAACGGCCACCUAUUACAACAGUAAGUUUACUGGAUCAUAUCCCAAAGCAGAAAAUUGGUUUUGUUUAAUGAAUGCUAGCUCACGAACAGAUUAAAAGAAUCAAAACUUAUGCAUCAACAAGUAGGCAUAUUCCCCUGUUUUUACAGCUAAAUAGUUCAAACAACAUACCUUGCCCUCGUCAGCAUCUAAAUGUCGCUGAGGAAACACCACCUUUAAAUCAUUGUACAGAUAAAAUCUCCGUUCGUCCUUCUUGUCUCUAGUACCAUGAGCAAUAGAUAGGGGAUCUGAUUUGCUAGUCUGAACUGAUUUUGAGCCUUUUAUAGGCGAAGGACACAGAAAAUGUAGAUGAAGUGCAUAGCGUAGGGAACCAGCAUUACUCGUACUCCUAUUGACUUUGGAACAAGAAUGUUGAGACUUCCUAUCAGUUUCAUGACAUGCAUCUCCACCGUUGCAUUUCUCUUUACAACUCUCACAUGCAAUUUCCUUUCCAUCCACUGUUUCACCAAGGCGACUUGUUUCUAAAGCUGAAGUACCUUUCUCUCCAACUUCACCUCGGUAUUGUGCUGCCCUUCUUUCUGACAUGUAAUAUUUGAUCCAACAGAGUCCAGGGUCAUCUUCUGACGCAGGAAUGUCUGACUUGUACAAAGAGAGGUUUCCAAUGUGAUCAAUUAUUAAAACAUAGGAGUACUAAGAAAGCAAUUUUAUUCAGACCAAACAAAUGGCUGAUUAGCACCAAGAAAGAGAACUAUAUGCACAGAUGGUUGAUAUAAAAAGUAAAAGAAUAGGCAUAUAUAUAUCUUUAUAUGGAAGUCCUGAACUUCCAACAUCCUCCCCCGGGCGAAGAGAAAAAAAGAGCAUUGGGGAGAGAAGGGGGGCAGGGGGGGGGGGUGGGGAAGAGGACGUAAUGGAGAGUAACUACGCAGAUUCCAUCACAAAACAUCACGAAUUCUUUCCUCUGUCCUUUCUUCCCCAAUUUCUUAUACAAUUGUGCAUGCAUUAUUUAAUCACAAGAAGAAGUAUAUUCUCUAACUCUCACCUUGGAACCAGCUGGCAUAUCACCCAAAUCAUAGUUGCAGAAGAAAGUGUGAAUAGGUGUCUUUUCUGGGUUGCUUAAGACCUGUGAAAACCAAUCCAGCUUCAUAGUAAAUGUACUUUUAAUAAUGCUAUCCCAUUAAAAGCUAGCAUAUCAUUGCGGCAAUGGGUCUGUAUGAGCAUUGCAGCUUCUGCAUUUCAAAAGUACUGAACCACACUUAAUCAAAUAUGGAUGCCAAGGCACAAAAUGAGACCAUAAAUGGCUAGAAAGGAAAGCAAGAAACAAACAGAAAGUGUAACCCCCAAAGCAGUAGCAUGACAGAGAAUGAAAGAGAAAUCUAAAUGUACAAAGCAUUAGAAAAGAGCUAUUAAAUUUACACAACACAUAUGAAGCCAGUAUUAUUCAUGUUUAGACACAAAACAUGAACAAGUUAAAGUGAGAAGUACGAAAAAAAAUAGAACCCAUAAACACAAAUCUGAUUUUUCAAAAUUUCAAAACUAAUGUAUAGUGUACGCUAGAGGACAAGUUUUUUUUUUUUUCAAAUGCCCCAUGAUAUGACAAAAUUCUGAUCAUGUACUCAAUUAUUUUUUAAUUUUCACCAUCACAUUCUGAGCAUUUUUUAACUGUGGGUUACAAUAUUAGUAGGCUCAAAACUGCAACCAAGAAAAAAAAAAGAAAAACCUUUCAUCCACCAUGGUUAUUGGCUUGCAAAACUCACAAAAUCGGACCAAAAAUAGCAAGUAAACAUAGACAAAUUACAUAAAAAGAGCAAUAGAGCAGAUUAUGUGCAAGGGCAAUGAUGCAGAGCAUACACUUGUUCGGAUUUAAAAAGCCCCCAUCAACUAUAAGGAAGAGAAUAUAAUACCAACUGUAUCCGCCCCUUCACUGGAAUGCGCAGGCGACUCUUGCUAUUUUGAGGAUCAUCACUAGCAAAACCUCUUUUGAAAUUUUGGCCUCUGCAACCGUUUGAUGGUGAAUUUCCAGCAAGGUUAAUGGAUGCAUAGUAUAGUAAGUAAUUAUCUCCAUCAACACUGACAACUCCAAAUGGAAGUUUCUGGACUUUAGGAGAAAAAUUGCCUCCACUUACGCUAAUGACAGCAAGAAAUCCGUCUAUUCUCUGCAGAUUUUCACACGAUUUAAGAAAAUUAGCACUCCCUCCGUCCCACUUUGAUAGUCCUGUAUUCCUUUUUCAUCUGUCCCAAAUUGUAGUCCACUUUCCAAUUGAAGAAUGUAGUUGUAUUUUAAUUUUCCUAAAAUACCCUUAUUCAAUGUAAGUAGUUGUUACUAUAAACCUACCCCAUUUAAUGAGAGUUGAUCCUUUUUUUACCAUCAAUUCAAGUUCCCAUAAAAUUGUACCAUAUUUAAUGUGAGGGUAUUUUAGGAAAAUAGCAAUCUAAAUUUACUUUUCCAACAAAGUUAACUACUUUUUCUUAAACUGUGUGAAAAAAGAAAUAGGACUAUCAAAGUGGGACGGAGGGAGUACUUCUUUGCACAGAGCCAGGUUUCUUCAUCAUAAAAAUCUAGGAUAAGAUAACUAAACCAAAAAAAGCUAGCUAGAUUGCACAUUUUAUUUCAUCAGAAUGAAAUUAACACCUGACUGUGUCUUCCCAUAGCAAGCCGACCAGAAAAUAGCGAUUCCUCAAAUGAGCCAACCAAUGAUCUUCUAAUAGGAAGCCCCCUCAAACUUCUGGACAACUUCAUGCAACUGGCUGUAGUGCCAAGAUCUUGAUAGAUAGGCCAACUCCUUCCAGUGUUACUUUCUGGUGAUGAAGACUGAAUACCUUUUUUGAGACACCGACAAUCUUCAAAUGAUGUGCUUGCUAUCCCAAAAUCCUCUUCUCUACAAGAACCUAAAAAGCUGGAGACAUUCUCCUUAUAUAAAUGUCCCAUAUUCUCAAAAAUGUCUCUCUCACUUUUGAUAAUUUUUCCUCUGCAUGGAACUGUUAAUUUUUCAGAAAAUCUAGGACGAAGAGGUGAUGAAGAUAGUGGAGCUGCAUUAUCAUCCUUGGUCAAUGCUGGUGUUGCCGAAGAUGAUGGCCUCACUUUAUUCAAUCCUCCUAAACAAUUAACUUCAGAUGAAGGCAGGCAAUUAAAUGGGAUUACUUCAUUCUCCUCCAGUAAAGGCCCAUCAGUAAAACACAAAGAGGUAGUUUCAUGGUAAUUACGCAUCCCUUUCUGCUCCGAGAACUUCGAUAUAGGCCAAAUAGGUGCCCUGAUAUGUUUUUUUCUUCCAAUGUUUGCUUUUUUAUAAUCUUGGGCAAUAUAAAGAGAACGACUGCCAUGAGAACUGGAAUGAAAAGUGCUCCUACCAAUGUCCAUAGAAUCACCACUAAAUUGCUCAGGGAAAAGCAUAUUAUUCAGUGGUGACAACAACCGCUUCCUGACAAAAGAUCCACUAGAUUCAGUUUCAUCAGAGUUAGUGCCAACCACAAUAUGAUCGGCAUUGUUGGCUGAAACUCCAUCAUUCCACCAGGGAGGAUAUCCUUUUGGAAAGCUUCAAAACCAACAAUUCGAGAAGCAGGAGUGUACAUAUCCCUCUUGGCACAUGGAGAUAACGAGUCAAUUUUGUCACCAAAAUGAGCUCUUGACACGUGACAAUGAGCUACCGCAUCUACAGAAUCCUGCUGAAAUGAAUUAUGAGAAAAGUUUGAGGCCUCCAAUGAGGAUUUGCGGUUAAAGUCUCCUAAUGAAGAACAUAUCGAAUUUCCCCCAAACGGUGGGGUUAUAACACCAACAUGCAUUCCAUCCAAGUCACAGGCGCUCACACCAGGCAUUUGUGGUGGGCUUGGCAGAAAUAUACUUGAGGAUGCUGUGACAUCCUCAGAAAUUUCACAGGACGAUGAAACUUGCAGCAAACCCAUUACUAGGUAUUCUUCAAGACUGAAUGCUUCUUGCUCACAUACCAAACCAUAAGAAGUAACUUUUCUGCUGGCUGACUCCUCUGAAAGUUACAGCCAAGUUUGGAUACGGGGAGUGAGGAUAUUGUGAUACACUGCAGAAGAAUUAAAUGCAAAACCAGAUUAUCUGGUCUUGUACACAAUAAGAAAUGGGAACACGAAUUUCAGCCUGCUGAAGAAAGCCAAAAGCAACAGUUAAGCUACAGAGCAGCUUCAAUCCUAAAUCUAGGAUAGGCAUCCAAAUCUAGGCCAAUCACUGUUGGAUUUAGAGUUUGCAAAAAUCUAGCCAAAGAGAUAUUCUAGUGACUGCAUGCAACAGAGAAGAGGUCCACUUUCUCCUCCAGAAAGCGCAAGGAAUAGGGAGAUCAACUCAUAAACCUGAAACCAAGUCCAAAAGCACAUGCUAAAACAUAAUGGAGAUAUGCAUUAAAAGAAUUAGUGAGACUAUCGUUUGAUGCAGCAGCAAGAAUAUAACCAUAGAAUUUUGACAGAAGAUAUAUACAAUUAAUGAAAGGGCAAUAACAAAAUGCCCACAGUGAUUAGAGGAAAAAAAAAAUCUGGGAGAGUAAAGAAACUUAGCAGAGGCAAGCGGGUAGUCAGGAGGAAGGAGUGGAGAAGGAAGGCCUUGUAUUCAAAAAUCCAAUCCAUAAUGCCUACAAAUGAUUUUGAUUAUUUCAUAGAAAAGCGCCACUACCAUGUCUGAGCUCUUGUCCUGCUCACAAUUCUAUUGCUUUGUGCGUUUUGUUUUCGAAGGAUAAGAUGAUAUCAAACCAUCAAAAAAAAAUGUUGAAUCUAAUACGGGGACAGAAUAGUAUAGCACUCCAAGGAAGGACAGAGCAUCACAACUCAGAAGACAUUGCCGAGACGCAAUUUUGGGAACGAUUGGCGGCGGACCGACGGAGGGACGGAAAAGUGAACAACAACAGCACGACGACGCACACAACUAAUAGCAACAACUUUACUUGUACGGCACACAUUCACCAAUCACCACACAAAGCCAAAAUGAAUAUAUAUACUGAUGAUAAAAAAAAUAAGUUUGAUGAUUCAACAAUUAAAGUACUACUAAGUUUGAUGAUUCAACAAUUAUUAAUCCAGAACCGUAUAAAACUGAUGAGAUGAGCAGUUGCAGAGCUCAAAUGGAAGUCGAUAGAUAGCAGCAUUCAGAGACCAAAAGAGUUACAAAACCAAAAAAAUGAAAAAGCGAUCAAGGUCAGAAACGCACCGAGAUCAAAAUGUGAACGCCGGCCCGGCGCAAAUAGACAGGGACAGGGAAGGAGAAGGAUAGUAGUAGGAUCUACUUAUAUGUAUUGUUUGGAUUUGGUUUUGCUCACAAAACAAAACAUUCUAAUUCCAUCUCCACACCAUCAACCUCUCCUCCUUAUUCAUCUUUCUUAAUUCCUAUUUUUACCACUAUCUACUGCUACUAUUCCAUCCUAAUUCAACUCAAAAAAUUUUUUUUGUGUUUUUUUUGUCGAAAUUUAGCGUAAUUUUUUUUUUUUUUUUUUAAAAAAGCAACAAAAAAUGAAGAAUAAUGACUAAUUAAUCGAGAAAAUGUAGGGAAAGUUUAUCUGCUCUUGGCGUCUUGUGAGAAAUGGAAGGGCUGUGUUUGCUGCGCUUCUUCUUCCUCUUCUUCUUCUUCUGAAGUCCAAACCCAAUGCCCAAUAUGGCAGUACCCAAAAACCCAAAAGCCCAUGCUCCAUUUUACUUUCCCUCUUUUUUUUUUUUUUUUUUCUUUAUUCCCGUUUCUCUCUCUUUCCUUCCUUGUGCAUUUGCUUUUUUUUAAGGAAAAAUGGCCAACCAAAUUCAUUCCAUUUAAUCCCAAACUUUGAUUUUAACCAAUUAAUGUGAUCCUUAAACAUAAAUUUCCUGGGGUCCAAUUGAAUCCUUCUACGGCGGCAGCAACACCUGACCACCAUUUAAUUAAAAUCCACUGGAGGAUAUUUUGGAAAUUCCGGUAUGGGACUAUAACAAAUUCCAAAUAAAUAAAUUAUGUGUUUUUUUUUGGGAUACUAUACUACCGUUUUAAACAUUUCGGGACACUGUUCAAAUUUUUCAACACUUGUCCCUAGCUCCCUCCUCCAUCUCCGCUACCUCUCUCCCCAUCCCCGCCCAACGCCAUCGUGAUGCCCCUCCUUACACCAAACCCACCACGCUCCCUGCUCUCUUACCACCAUCCCGCUGUCCCUCUCCUCUCUCCCUCCUUCCCCCCCCCCCCUCCCCACUAGCAGCAGAAAACAUUACUGAUAUUUAUUUUUUAUAUAGAAAUUGUACAUAUGAAUUAGACUACUAGUAAGGUAGCUCGCAGUAGCGUAGAUGCCACCCAAACCCGAACCAAGGGACAAAUAUGUGUUGAGAUUCAGAAGACUCGAUGCACCCCAAUGAAUGAAGUCAAAUUCCACUUAAAAGUAUACAAGUGAAUGGCAUGCAAUUUAUAGUUGCGUAUGGUAUUCAAACCCUAUCUUUUUUCGAUUUUACCAUCAACAUGUCUCUUGGAUCUCGUUGUCUCCUAGUCGGUUGCAAAGGCUCCAGUAUGCCGAUUAACACUUGUCACCCAAUUUGAUGUCUUACAGUUAGCAAGGGUUGAUUUUCAAUCUUUCCUUCUUCUUCAAUAUUGAUAAUUUAUGGCUGGGGAAAGGGAUGUGGAGGGGUGCUGAAUUUCUCAGCUUUUCAUGAUACCCAUCCUGCUGGGGAAGGGGAGUGGAGAGGAUGGUGGGUUUGGUACUUUGGUGUAGGGAGGCGGGCAGCGCAAUGGUGAUGGGAUUGGGGAAACGUGGCAGAGGUGGUGGAGAUGGGCGGAGAGGCUGGCUGGGAGGGUUGAGAUAGGGGCGGAGUGAAAACUAAAAUAAGAAAAAUUUUGAAAGUACCCCAAAAUUUUUUUUUUUUUUUAAAUACCCUUGCUCUCGUUUGCACAAACUUUCACGAGUACACCAAUGUGCUUAAUCAUGUACAUACUGGUACAACGCCUUAAUAUGUAAUGGGCAUAUUAGGAAUAAUAUUAAAUGACCCAAUUCCUAUUACCAGGGACAGGGAGGUCUCGUGCACUGUAUAUAAUAGUUAGAUAUCUCAAUUCGAUCCUUCAAAUUGAUAUAAUUUCAUUUAGUCCCCAAAAAUAGCAGAAAAUCUCAAUGUAGUCCUUUAAGAAAAAAAGAAAAAGAACUCAAAUUUUAGUCAGUUAAACUGAGAAAGUUGUUCCAAAUUGAUCCUCCAAAUCUACGUAUUAAAGAUGCAGUCCAAAUUUAUGUAUUAAAGUUAGUUAAUUUUGGUUGAUUAUACAAGGAUCUAACUACAAAUGGAGGAAAACAAAACAAAGUCAUUUUAGUUGCUCUCCAAGAACUAUUUGCACUUUAUUUUUUUCAUCAAUAAAGUGCCGUACUUUACGAGUUACACAAUGUUUCAAUAUCAAGUAAUUUAGGGAUUUAAUAAUAAUAAAAAGAAAGCACUAAAUUGGUUUCGCAAAGGAUGUUACUUUUUUCUCCCAAAUCAUUUAAGCCAAAAAAAACUUCUACCAGAAUGACAAGACAAACUUUGCCUAGUCUAUCAUUUUGGCCGUUUGAUUCUUUCAUUGUUAUUGAACUACUAAAAUAUAGGCUUGGAGGACCAAGCUAGAACAACUUUUAUAAUUAAUAGCACAAGAUUAGGACUUUUUUUUAUUUUGUAUUUGAGAAAACAAAUUAUGAUUUUGCGCUAUUUUGGAAGACCAAAACAAGACUUCAGAUGCGUUUGAUAAAAUUGAAGCCUGAUAUUUGAAAUUUGAAAUUUAAAAUCCAAAAUCUGAAUGAAUUAAAUUAUUGAAUUGUUAAGUACUAAAUUGAAUACAUUUACAUAUACAUCACAUUAAGUGAUAAGUAAAUAUUUUAUCAUUUAUUUUUUACAACAACUUUUAUCGAGAAAAUUCAGUACCAUAUUAAUUUAGAUGUUCAAUUUUUUUAUCAUCAAACGCAUCUGACCAUGUUAAAAUUUGAUUCCAUUAAGUUUAAGUGUUAAAUUGAAUUAUCAAAUAAAACUUUCCUCACAUUCAAGGAACAAAUUGAGGCAUUUUGCUACUUGAGAGGAUCAAAAUCAAAAUGAGACACCUUACAGUUUGAUGGAUCAAAUGAGACGUUAGCAGACUUCGAAGGAUCGAAUGAAAGCAACCAACCACAUUACGUUACUUCAUCUUAUGAGGCACGGCCCUGACAUGUAGCCAUGGAAAUUACUUUAUAGCCUCCUCUUUGUUUUUUAUUUCAAUUGUUCCACCUGCAGAAAUAAAUAAUUGCUACUGUCAAGAGUACACUACUAUUACUUCAGGUUCUUCUUCUAUUUUAGAAACUCGCCCUAGACAGAUUUAUCAAAUUGUAGCUUGCGCCAGUUGCAUCUCCUUCCCUCCGUUUUCUUUACAAGGACGACUAAAGGGAGAGUUUAGGACCCGCCCUCCCUUCUCUCCCCUCCCCCCUCCCCCUCUUGAUACAGGCCUAAUACUUUGACAAGAGCUCAAAGUUCAUCUUAACAUUCCAUUUACUUAGCUCUGAACUAAUUUAGGAUCAAGAAUCACAAUAGAUUCGUAACAUUUCCAUAACACAACUCAAAAGCUGAACACCAUUACUGCGUACUAUGAACUAGUAAGAACAUCCUCGUCACAAUUAUCAAUCAACCCAUGAAAUAGGUCAUCGCAGGUCUCCAACUUCUCCAUUUGUGGCAGGCGAAUGCAGCCUCACUGCCUAAGGUGGAAAUCAAGAUCUGGGAACUCCUUUUCCCCAGCCUGAGGCAGUUACAAACCAAUAUCUCCGUCACAAUUCCAAUGCAUCAACUGCUGCGAUGAUGACGUCUAAUUCCAUCAAAAAAACAAACGUAUAACAAGCUUCUCAAGUCUGUAGAGUAAAUAGCUUUCUUUGAGAUAUUUUGGCAGGUAGCGGCUGCAACAUCUGCAACAGUUCCUUACACCUGAAUAAAGGGGUACUUCAUUAACGAGUUUUGAGUGUUAUCAAAGUAUGACACUUUUUAAGUUUUAACCUAUAAGGUUUCACAGAAAUGGGCUCCAGACAAAUAUAGGCUGAAACUGAAAUGACUUCUUAGAAUCAACUCAGAACUCCAGGACACUGUGGUGCAGUUACUUACUUGGACGCAAGUCACUUCUUGCUACUCUGUUAAAAAGGCUCUGCAAUAAGUAUCUACUUUUGUUUGCAUAUUUUAUUUAUCAAUACUUCUAUGCAUGCAAAGACAGUCAAUUGAUAGAUGAUUCGUCAUAAAGAGCACGGUCACCAUAUUUUCCACUCAAACAGACCUUUUAAAAUUUAACAGGGACAUACUGAGAAAAACUUCUGCAUAUAGCAAAGUGUGUACGAUGAAAAGCAGUAAGAAGUGGUAUAAUAAUUAGCAAGGUAAAACAAUAAGGAACAAAAAUACAUAUGGACUAACCCAAAGUUAAUGGCAGUGACAAAAGGUCUUGGAGAUUAAAAUGGUCUAGCGCUGCUUCCAUCAUCUUUUUAAGUCUCAUUAGUUUUUGGAGCUCCUUGAGAACCUAAAAUUAUGACAUAGCUCAGUAAAAUAUGUAUUAAACCAAUGCAAUCAUUGUCUGUUCAAACAGAUUACCCAUCAGGAUGCGAGUUGACUGAACCCAGCACCUCCACGUUGGUCAUCAGUGUCAAUCAACAGGAAUUAGAAAAACAUACCUCUAAAGCCAUAUCUUCAACUGUUACUUCAACCAGGUCCUUGUAACGAAAUUAGAUGCUACUUCUGCAGGAAAAAAAGCGCUUUUAGAAGCAUGAGAGAGUGGACCUCUAGAAUAAAUGAGCAGGAAAUACUUGGAUCGUGAAUUACUUGGGAGCGAAACAGUUGAAUCAGCUGCAGUAUAUCCACUCCGGCUUCUUUCAUACAGUUCAGUCAGCUGAGUCAAAAUCUGCCAAAUUCACAAGUACCAUUAGCUACAAUAUAGGAGGUUGAAAAGAGAUUUAUUUCGUUAGUUAACUGUAACAUCUGUCCUUAUUCGCAGCAUAUACUGUGAGCCUGAGUUUAUUUUAGCACUGAAGUGGAAGUGAUGGACCUCAGAAUAAGAUCCAGAAACUGUGAGGUCAGAUGCAGGAAGUUGAAUAUCAUUUUCCAUGACCUCCCUGGCUACCAUGUCUAGAGGGACAUCAAUCCAUAUUGAAAUUCCAUGUCUCAAGUGUGCCCUACACGAUCAUUUGAAAGAGGAUGAUAUCAGGAAAAGUUGCAAAUAGGAUGUUAUUUGAGAAGAAACUUAACUGCAAAAUGAGUUCGUACAGAUUGGCUGCACACUGAACAGUGCCAUUUCCAGCAGAAACCACAAGACGGCCCAUGGAGGACAGCUGCUUCAGUACCUCUGUCUGCCGUUGCAGCCAAAGAGUUUUUGGUCAAAGUGUUACUUUGGGCCUCCAAGCAACAAAACUCAACAGGGGGGGAAAAGAAUGUAAAAUAGCGGAAGCUAAGCUAGGUAAACUGUAUAGGCAGCCUGAUCAAGAGAGCAGAAUGCAGGAGUGACCAACCUCAGAUUCACGGAAACCCUUCUCAUCCCGCUGGAAAACUAAUCUAGCAGCAGAUUUUCCACCGGCAGCCGCUUCAAUCAAAUCAUCACUACAAUAGAAGUGGAAGCAGAGGAACAGCAUGUCAGCAAUGGGGCUCCUUAUAGCAUCAGGAGAUGCAGCAUAUGGAACUUUUACUAAACCCAAUUGAUCGGAAAAAGAGGAGCGGCAAAAUUUAUAAAGGAUAUCACCUGUCAAAGUAAUAGUAUCGCAGUGCCUCAGCAAGAAGUUUCCCCAAGUUGGAUUUGAUGGAACAGUUUAUCCCUAUUGUCAAUGCCAACGAAUAAUUCAAUAUAAAAAUUUAAGGAGGAGGGAGGCGAAGGAGAACAAAAUGAGACAUAAAAGGUUCAUAAUCUUGAUCGCGAGCUAAAGGUCAGCACUAAUUAGUAACCUCACCUACAAGAAAUACAGAAGUUCCUUUCAAAUCGGGAGAUAUCUCAGCUGCCCUCUUCUGCAUUCAACAUGGAAGAGUCAAAAUAGCAAAACUGAAGUUAAUGGAGAGGGGAAAUAUUAUUAGUACACAAGCAUUCGCUGGAGCAGAUCACAAUCUGUAACAAAAAGGGGCGAAGGAAAACACAGAUAAUAAUAAAUAACCACACAACAUGGAACCGUAUCUUGCAGCGGACAAACGACAGAAAUAGAGGCAUUUAAGUUCAAAAUUGACCACCAAAAGGGAAGGAAGGGAAAAGAGUUUUCACCUCUCACCCACCUUAAGUGUUAGUGAAGGAUCAGCCUCAGCAACACUCUUAAGCUCCUCCGCAUCUUCACAGUUAACAUUUAAUUACUAAGAAUCAGAAAUUAUGUUUGUUUAUUAAGGACUGAGUAAACAGAAUCAAAAAGAAAUUAACGUUGGUAGCACAGUAUCAAAAGACAGCGAGCAGUUUGUAAUGGAUUUCAGACAAUACCAGAAGAAGAAGUAGUAUCAUCCAGGAGGGCUCGGGAAAGGGUGAGGGGCUCUUUAGCUACAGACGACAAGAUUGAAGUGGGAAGAGCGGACGGUCUUUGAAGCCGACAAUUCCUGUUGUUGAACUGAUAAGUAGUAGUAGUAGUAAAUGGCGAUGAGAGGCCUCCAUCAUAGCCAAAGCCAAAGCCAAAAGGGGAGUGAGAUUCCAAAGCAGGCGGCUGCGCUCGGGGUCGAACCAAAUAAUUCGUUGUGCCCCAGCUCCCUCCCGCCUGUGUUAUCUCCGUCAUCAUAUUCUUCAUCGUCAUAUCCUCAAACUUCAAUAUAACACACUCUCACUCCACCACUUUUACCGUAAAAUAUACUCCCACUUCUUACCAUUAUCCCCUUCUUUUCUUUGGAAUGCUGAGUUUUUUUUUUUUCCUUUUUCUAAUAAAUAUUUAUGAACACGUUUUUUUUUCAACUUUUUAAAUACUUGAAGGGCUAAAGCGAGACAUUUUUAUAUUUAAAUGGGACUGGUAUUAUAUUUUGGGGACUAAAAUAAAAUCUUUUUUUUCAACUUUUUAAACACUUCAAGGACUAAAGCGAGACAAGUUUUAUAUUUAAAUGGGACUAGUAUUAUAUUUUGGGGACUAAAAUGAAAUAGAUUUCACGUGAGCGGAACAAAUUUAUAGUGCUUCAAAGGACUCGAAUAUUCUAGUUUUGAAGUUUAAUACUACUAAUUAAAACAGGAAUUCAAAAUGUAGUAUAGCAUAGUUGAAGGGUACAAAAUGUGAGAGGUUCAAUAAAGUACGUUUAAACACAAUAACCAUUCUACGCUUGUCUUACUAAAUUUCUAUUAGUAUAAACCAUGCUCCUCCUCCUCCUCCUCGUUACAACUUACAAUCAAUCACAGAAUGAGAAAGUUGGCUUGUUGGAUUCAUUCUCCAUUCACAUGCUCGACGAUCGGAAGAGUACAACCACACUUUACUUUAGUUUUCUUUUCCUCAUCAUCAAAAACACAUCCAUGGUAAUGGUAUGCUUUCACUUGCCAAAAAUAAAUCCUCCUUUCUUUCUUUUUUUCUUUUUUUUUUUUUUGAAAAACUCCAUUCAUGACAUCCAUAUUUCUUCCCAUCUUCGACUAGAACAUAUGAUACAACACUACAAGUCAAAAUUUCGAUAGACGAGUUCUCUAGUUUAGACUUUGAAAGAAUUGGAGAAAAAUCAGAUAUAAACUACAGUAGUCAAUCUGCAUAUUUACACCCCCCGGCCGAGGCGCAGCAAGUAAGAUGCAGAGUCCGCCCAAUGAAAUCCAAAGUGGACGUCGGGCAUCAGCUGAUUCCUGCAAAUAUUGAAGUUCACAGUUAGGAUUUUCAAUUUCGUUUUAACGAGGACGCCUGCCAUAUUCAACAACAAUAACCAAAUCAGAAUCCUACAACCCUAACCCCAAAAAAAAAACAAAUUAGGAAUUAGAUUUUAUUUCCAAAUUUUGCACGCCAUAACCAGGUGUUUGGCAGGCACUAUUUCCAACAUUCUAGAGCCUCAAAUCAAAGUUACAUUUGAUCCAAUAUCGCUUAACACCGAGUCACUGCUUUCCAUCGUGUAGCUUAUCCAUCUGAAACCCCUAAAGAUACUGUAGCUGGUUCAAGACCAGAGUUGAUUACUAGAAGAUUUCCCUUCAUAUAAUAAGAUCGAUCGCUACCAUAGGUUAUAGCCCAACUACCCACAAUCAUCCCCCUCUCUUCUCUCCACACUCCCUCAAUCCACAGGUCAAGAAUCCAUUGAUUCAGGAAAUACCAUGGCCGAUUCAACAUCAUCUAAUAACAUUCAUUUCAUUAAAUUACCUCUUAUCUGCCUGGAUUGGAGGCUAGUUCAGAUACAACAGCCGUUGACUUCACAUUAGAUAAGGAAAGUGGUGUUAAUGGAGGAGAAGGCACUCCAGCCUUUUCUUUCAUCUCAGGGGAUUCCAUCAACUUGGAAACAUGAAAUACAGCUACUCUAUGAUCGCUUGAUGGUAUGGAGAAACUUCGAGGAACAGUCAGAGGAGGAGGGGAAGUGGAGAUCCUGCAUUAGAUGCCAGCACAAAACUCCGAUUUGUCGGCGAGACUUCCCGAUUUCUGUUAAUUAGAGGGGCAGAGUGCCCAAUAACACCAGAAGAACUUGCUGGUUUGCUGGCUAAAGAACCAGGAGGACGAGGCAGCUCGUGAAGCUCACUUAUUUUAGGUGAAGACACAUGAGGAGGUGAAACACUCUGAGGCACAUUUAUAGCUGAAGGCGGCUGGGAGGUUGAAACUCUAGAAACCAGUCCAGAUACUGCUUGUGGCAGUUCACUAGGGCCAAUGGGCCCACUGCUAGAUAACAAAGGUUUGCUAGAUGAUGGCUUACUCAGCAAUGGACCAGAGAGAGCCUGUCGUUCAAUUUUUUUGGCAUCAUAGUUUGUAUCAGAUUGUGGGAGUGAAGCUCCUUCUGCUAAAGGGGACGGGAGUGGAAUGGAGGGACUAUUUUGGUCACUCUCUUUUAUGGCAGCCUGUGUUUUGGAGGCUGUGCGCAUUGCCAAGUUAUCUACCAUUAAUUUCCUGUGCUUCUCAGCAUCAAGUGGUGAUGAAUGCCACACAUUGUUGGCGCUUCCACUAACACUAGCAGUACUUGAAUGGACAGCGUAACUGCUUGUCCUUGAAUUUAAACUCCUUGCAUCUGAAGGAGUUGGUAGCGCAUAUGCAUGAAAUUUCUGGACUGGUGUCUGCAUUUCUUUAAACUUUUCAGAUGGAUCAAACUUCCCAGCAUAUAUUGGAGCGGAAAAACUGCUUAUUCGAGGCUUCCUGCUAAAACCCUGCUCCCCUUUCUUUCUCCGAAAAUUGAUCUGUAUAUAGAACAUAUUAUAAGUUGAACAAAGCCAGAAAUUAAUAACAGACCUCACCAACAGUAACCCUUAAAGAAAAAUUAAUGAUUUAGCAAGUGACACAAAAAAGAAAGCAUUAAAUCAGAAACUUCUACCAUGUUGAUCAGAUAUUUGCAAGAGAUGUAUUACAUUUCAUUAACUCAACCAUGCAGAGCUAAAGUUAAUACCAAAAGAUGGUGUCUUUAUCAGAAUUUCCUUAGUUUUUUCUUGAUGGCGAGAUCUGUUCUACAGAAGUAGAUCUUUGUACCUCUAGAUCAUCAAAUUCUGAAACCUGUGCAAUUGGAGCAUCUGCCUGGACUACUUCCACCUGUAAAAUCAACAGAAAUGCCAAAAAGAGGAAAUCAGAAGUGGUGAUCAAUUACAUUGAUAAGGUCCUCAGCAAGAAACAGAAUGACUGUCAGAGGGCAGCAUCUGACAAACAACACUAAUGACAAUGAUCAUCGAACAUUCAUGUGAAAAUGUAGCUUGGAAGUACUAAACUUCCAGAAGAAUGUCCAACCCCUGCUUAGAGAUUACUUGCAGAGGCAAUUUACUCUCAAGAAGUUAACAAAUUAGGAAAUGAAACAUGUGCAGUAGCAAGAUAAUUAUCUAUUUAUAAACAAAAUGCUAUGAUUUUCUCUCUUCUUCAGAUACCAAGAAUUAAUUUAGUGGCUUUCAAUGAAAAAUGAAAAAGUAAGUUGAGGCGUUGUCACAUUCAGAAUGUACACAAGUUGCAAAACAGGCAAACCAACAAAUUACUGUUCUGAAUUACUUCAUUAUUUAGCAUAAAAAAAUGGCCAGUACUUAACUCGUUGUUUGUUUUGCUUCAUCUAUUCCUUGCAGACAAAUUUUACCGAGUAAAACAAAAUGGAAAGAAAUACAACAUGAAACAUAAUGGACGUCUAAACACCUUGCUACCUAAUAUGUUUUUUCACACCAAAUAUGUUUCCAAGCAUGAAAAGACCUGCAGAUUGUAUAAGCUAAUAAACUGCCUAGUAAAAUUCCUAACAGCAGUCAAAUCGGAAAAAUGCCCACUAGAAAUCCUUAAUGCUCCAAACUUACCUCCAUUGAGUUCCUUGAUGUGCUAGGAUUUUCCUGUUCUUGCUUAAACUCUAAGUUGUCAAAACUCAAUUCUCCAUCACAAUUAGUAUCAUCACUGUUAACUCCAUCCUCCCGAUAUUCUGCAUCCUCUAACUCACUCAGUUGGUAAUCAAUGUGUUGCUUUUGAGCAACAUUUCUCAUGUAGGGCUCAACUGCGGCAAGAGAUUUAAGUCCUCUACGGAAAAAAAUCAACUGUUUCCAAAAAAUUUAUGGACGGUACAAAGAAAAAGGGACAAGCAGCUAAUUAAUGAACUUAAAGUCAAAAAAAAAAAAGGAAGAAGAAGAAGCUUAAGCAGAAUCAUGAAACUAGAAGGUUACCUGUGCUGCAUGGUGACGAGCAGCUUGCGUUAAAAGACUGCGGCACUGACCUUGCUUCAAGGAUUCUACACGAAAAACACAUAGCCUUGCCACUUCAUCAUAAUCUUCACGAGCUGCUUGUACUUGCUCUGACGUAAAACUUUCUCCUUUUCCACCUUUAGACUUUCCUUUUUCACUAUGUCGUGCCACCAUGUGUUCAUAUAUGCUCCUGAUCAUUAAGCAUGGAAAAGAAUAAGAUAAUGCUCAAAGAAGUAAGAUAAAUAUCAGAAGGUAAAUCCAUUUAAAAGCUUUACCUUUUUUCAUCACACUGCUGUUUCAUCUCCUGCACCAGAAAAAAUAUCAAAAUAAAAUGAGAAUAAUAGGCAGGCAUAAAUCCUUUCUCCAAACUCAUAUACGACUAAAUUUGCAGGACAAGAACUGCUGAGAUUCAACAUUUUGACGAGAACCAUGUUAGAUGAAAUUGCAAACAACCACCACUAAACUGUCUUGAAAUCAAAGGAAAAAAACUGCAAAAUAACCAAAAUGAAGCAGGCUGCAAUCAAUUAUAGAGAUCUACACACAAACCUCCACUUUCCGCAGCUCAGAAAGAAGAGACUCUGAUGGGUUCGUGAUAGUCAGGAUUACGUGAGAACGCUGAAUAGCAGAGAACAGUGUUACAAACGGGUUAAAGUAGAUAAUACAGAGUGAGACCCUGAGACCCCACCCCCACAAGUGCAAAAAAAAAGAAAAAAAGGAACUUACAUAGCCAUCAACAAGUUUCUGGAGUUCCAGCUGUACUUUUCCCAGUAUUGACAAUGCUCUGCCUGCAUCAACUAGAAAAUCAGCCAUGGUUGAAAAUCUUGCUUUCACAUUUUUCAGUACCACCCAUAAAUUUCUUUUAGCUGGUAAGGCAAUGGCAUUGAACAAAUAAGUACAUGCAAAUGGAUAACAAUUGACCAGAGAAAAAAGGUCAAGAAAAGGGGAGCAGAUGAAAGUCAAGAAAAGAAACAGAAAAUGCUUCAGCCUCUGCAAGACAUACAAACAUCCUGAACAAUUUAACACAUCAAAAUGACAUUAAGAUGGUUGAUGAAGUUCUAAAUAUAUUUUUGAGAAGAGCAGCAGAUGAUAAUCAGCAAUCUCUGAAAGAACUGUGCAACUAGUGGUAGAGAUAAAAAGUGAUUGCAAUGAUUGAAUAUAAAAAAACCGAAUCAAAAAACUCCCCAACACAUGCAAAGAUGGCUACAAAUAUUCUGGAAGAUUUCUUCAACGUAACAUGCAGUGCCAAUGGUUAGUAUUUUGCAAUUCCCACCAACCCAACAAAAAACAAGAAAGAAGAUUACACUACCAUUGUUGUUUGACAGCAUAUUCCCAGAAAAACCAUUAAAAUCAGAAGUAUCACCUUUCUAGUUUCACAUGUAAGCUGUUUAGAAGUACCACCAGCUACAUCAUGAGCAGUUCACAACUUGCAAGUUUUUCAUUAACUAACUAACUGCACAUUUGAAGGAAAUGUAGACACAUAAAAAACCCAAAACUGAUUCUCAGGGCAUUCCAUCUCUUCCAUCUGUAUACGAGGGGCAAGCAAAUAAAUCAAGCAACAAAAGCACUUACACCACCAGAUGAAACAAAAAUGUAGUGCAACAAUGGGAUCAACGUUAAUGUAGGCAGCAUAAUUAAACUACCUAAAAUCCGAACAUUCAAGUAACAUGCUUCCAGCAGGGUGCAUUUGGUUUCUGGUAUAAACUAAAGUGGUUACCAAACAACAUUGAAAUCAGUUCCUUACCACAUUCUCCGUCACUGUUGAAUGCAGUCCUCUCCAGUAGACAGUUACCCAUUUCCAGCAAAGACUCUGAAAAUUCUGCAAGUGGACAGGUUUUAUAUUGGUAAGCGCUUUCAUGUGGAAUGUAACUAAUUGAUAGAAGACUCAAAUUGCAGUAAUCACUCAUCCAACUCAUGUUGUAUCAUAAAAACUUUUAAUGUCAAAGAUGUAACAUGAGCUAAAUGAAGAGGAAAUUGUCAUUUACUUGAAUUAUUACACGUAAGAGUUUAGCUUUUUCCUUUCAAUAAGAAGAAAGACAUGCAAAGCCCAGUGCACCAUGUUGUAUGAACCACAGAAAAUAAGACUUCAUCUGAGUGUCACUAGAAGGAACAAAGAAAAAUAGGUGGAGCUAGUUAAAAUGCAAGAAAAAGAUAAAGCAAGAUCAUUGGAGAAACAAAAAUAACAGUAAAUUGAAGGCAAUCAUGGAAAGAAAAUUUAGCUAACUGAUGUGUAUCCUUCAAACGUGGAUUUUCUUAAAAUUGGACAAAGGAAGCACUAUUUGUUAAUUCCUACUUCCCAGUGAUAACAAACGUACGAGGCAUCCUUAAUGGAAAUUGAUAAAUCAUGUUGAUAGGAGAUAAAGUUCUCUUGUUCCUCCCAAAGGUAACUUGGAGAGAAACAAAUAAUUCUAUCGCAGAGACUAGAUAAAGCAAGUACCAUAGCACUAUUUGUGGUUGCAGCAGCUGCAGAAAGAAAACUAUCACAGCAAUCCCUCAUGUCUUUCAUAUCCUGCAAAAAGAGAAAAUAAACAAAUAACCAUAUUUGAUGCAAAGAAUGAAUGUGUGACCGGAUAGGAAGACUAGAAUGUCUCAUACUGAAGAUAGGUUCUAGGAUCUCAUAUUGUAAAUGCAUUGGCUAGCCAGUUCACACAGCUUUAGCUAAUUACGCAAGAGUUAAUUUAUUUUGACAUCAUGCAUCCAAAAUGUUUACUGAACUUAGACAAAAGUUACAGAGUUGAAGUUCAAAAUCCACGUGAAUAGGAAGGGAGACUAUAUAUAGUUCUUGUGUAAAAUUGGAAACCUAGGGCUCCAACUUCUUGAAGCACUAAAUCUUUUGCUUGUUCCAAUUCUAAAGCUCAUUUUAGAAAGCUUUUCUCCUUGCUGUUUCCUUCAAAGAAAUAUAACACAACACUGUCUUCUAAGGUACCAUUCAUUCUAAUCGCCCAAGUCUCAAUAAGAAACCAACGGCAUAAAAACACACUGAUAGUACUUUACAUGAGAUUGUAACGACGUAUUUUAUGUAUUCCAGACCUCACUAAUAAAUGUCUCAUCUUCACUUGCUCUUUCACAUCUUCAUGCACAUAUGCACAUACAGAACUUGUAAUGGGAAUUUAACUACUAUAACCCAAAAAAAAAAAGGCUUGGUUAUUGGAGAGCUUUUUAUGACUAUGCAUCAAGUCCAGGUGUAUUAGCAAGUAACGUGGACUAUUUUCGGAUGCCUCUUUCUUUUUUUUUUUAUUAAAUCCCGGAGUAAUCUCAAAAAGCCCCAGCUGGAUACGGAUGCAGUAAUAUUGAUAUUUACCAGGGAAAAAAAAAAGAAAAUCUUGAAAUCUGGGCAACGGGAUUAGAAAUUCCAACCCCCCUCGCCCCCCAAACACAAAAACACUCACAGAGGAAGGGGAAAAUAUAAGCAAAAGAGGAGCAUCGAACUUGAAAUAUUUCCCGAAGUCCUAACCUAAAGCCUAAAAGUCUCAAGGAGGAUAUUUAUAUCAUAAUCCUUCGCCGAGGGAAGAAAUUUCAAAAACAAUACUAGGAAAGUCAGCAAAAGUGGUGGCGGAGACAGAUGAUAUGAUAGUCGAAGACCUUGAAAAAAAAAAAAAGGUAAGGAUGAUAUGACCAUAGUGUUUAGGAGUUUAAAAAAAAAUUAAAGUUAUACGAAAGUAGGAAUUAAAAUCGGAGGAGCCCUAACAAUGGCUAAUGAAUAUAUGAGAUAAAAGAGGACUAGAGAGAGAGAGAGAGAGAGAGAGAAGUAGAAAUAUAGAAAGGAAAUGGACCUGAGAAGCCUGGGCGAGCGCAUCGGAAUGCGCCAGGGAUUGGUGAUCCUUGUUAUCCUUGGCAUGGUGGGUCUUUUGCAGUGUAAAUCUUUUGAGCUGCUUCCCCAACGAUGACUUCAUUGCUGCUAAUUAUCCUCUCCCUCCCUAACUUCCUACUGCUAAUAAUCAACAAUCACUCUCCCUCCCCGGAUUCUUAUUAUUUUGCCUGUUCUAAUAAAAGCAAUAAUAAUAUCAGUCAGUCCAAUCAGAGAGAGAGAGAGAGAGAAUUCUAUUCCUGUAUGAAAGCAGUAGUGCAGUAAUCUUGAAUUAUUCUCGACUUUGGUAUCGUUGCAGCAGCGGAUCCCCAGCCCAGCAGCAGCAGCAGCGGCAGCAGUAGCCUAUAGAAGAAAGAAGAAAGAAGAUAUUCAUCCAAAUCUACCACUCCUAAUUCCCAACUUAAAAAUUUAAUUCCCAACUUAAAAAGACGUACUCUAAUUGAAACUAGGAAUUGGGGGAAAACCAAAAUAAGACGGGUGAGGGCCGGGCCGGGGGUUGCAGACCAGACGAUCCAAGGGGGGCAAAAAUGAGUUGAGGGGCAGCUAAACUAAACUAAACUAAACUAACUAGGACGGGACGGGUUGACAAAUCUUAUCACAAACCUUUACGCGCCGCAGUGUGAAGUAAAGGGCAACUCCUCGCUUCCUCUUCUCUCUUUUCUCAUUUCACUGGUCAAACCAUAUCGUUUUCAGUCCUCACAACUUACACCACCUCCUCCUUCUUCUUCUUCUUCCCCCUCCCCCACAAUUACCAUCAAAACUCCCUCGUCAGUUGUCACCGCGCCUGUCCGUCCCAGUGAGAGUUUGAAACCUAACUCGUUCAUUGACCCAAAAAUAAUUCUUGGGCCGACCAUAAAAAAAAAAUAUUUUUGAUCCAUGAUGUCAUAAUUAUUUAGUAAUAUAAAUUACAUAUAUUAAAUAUUUAAACUGUGAAAGAGGAUAAAAAGAAAAUAGAAAAGGAAGGAUAAUAAAGCACCAUAAAAUAACAAUUCAAGGAGGACAUGGAACAUCUGCACAUAUAUUUUUAUUACCCAAAAUUUGUUAUUACUGCUACUAAUUAUAUCAAGUUGCAGUAGAGAAACUACUUUAUUUUAACACAAAUCUUGAAUUUUCUCUUCUUUUUUUUUUUUUGUUAUCUUUGACAAGCGAAAUUCUUGUCCUAUGCAUUAGUAAAUAUUCUCCAUUAUCCCAACAUUGAUAUUUAAAAUGUUAGUAGAUUUUCGGAAUUUGAAGUUUAAGCAUUCAUUUGCUUCAUUUACGACGAAUAAUAGAAAAAAAAAAUCAAUUUUUUAAGAGAAAAGAAAUGGAUUGGAUGGUUAGGAGGAGGAGGAGCGCAAUUGAGAGAUGCUACGCAAUUUUUUAGCCAAUCAUCCAUCUUUAAAGGUGGUUGGGCAAAUGUGCCGCUUUACUUCUUCAUGCCCUGCCCUGCCUGGCUUGUCUGCCAUUCUAUCGUAUGCAGCAUAAGUUACAAAGGGGUUUCAUUAUUUAGGAACAGCCACAAACUUCCAACUUUGUGGCAAAAUUAUAGGGCCUGAGGGACGGUGCGUUGCCGUCAAUCAACACUUGUUCUCAUCUUCUUCUAGGAAAAGGGUCAGGUUCCAUAUUGCACAGAACUCACUGGAAAUUCACACACCCUUUUAGUAGAUACUUGAGUACUGUAGUAGGAAUUCGAUGAAGAGCUUCCAGGAGUGCACAUUUACCAUGAAGCAAAUCAAUGGGCGGAUGGAUAUGCAAAACCAAUGGAAACCUCUCUUUUGGUCUCUGUUUUUUGGCAGCUGCCCGCCCAUCUCCCGUAGAACCUUUCGCUAGAAUGAUUGUGAAGGAAUUUAAUUUGUUUCCGUCGAGUUGUUGUUUCUUGCGAUUGAACUCACUCUAGCUACUAAGUUAUUCUGUGGUUUAGUCUCCUUUUAGGAAUAUAUAUAUAUAUAUAUAUAUAUAUAUAUAUAUAUAUAUAUAUAUUAUCCCACACCACAUGCAUGGUAAAGCCUGGAAAGGUGAAAGGAUACAACAGGUACUGUACAAUAUUUCUAACCCAGUCCAAUCCAUUGCUAUUUAUCAGCAUUAGCCAACGUAAUGUAGGACAUGAUCCCUCUUCUUGAAUCCUCCCUAUCAAAGUCCCUUCAUACGUAGAAACGUAUUUUCAAUGGUAACCUGAUAUGGAAAAUAAAAGGACGAUAAAAAAACAUCUAGUGCAUGUUGUACGUAGGUUUCAAUUUUAUACUUAACACAUAGGAAUGGGUAUAGUUUUGUUGGUUAAUCAAGCCAGACCCUCAAUUUCAUCUAUAUCAAGUAGGCAAUAUUUUUCUAGAUGUGCAUGCAAAAGAAGAAAGUAUUCAUCAAAGAAGGAGCUGCAAUGUAAAUGAAAAGGAGAAAAAAUAUUAAAAAAAAACAAAAGAGUCUUCCUCCAUCUCUAUGCAUACGUAGAAACAUGCAUGCGAGAGACUUGAUCAGGCGAGAAACAUCUUUGCCUUCGAGGAAGACCAGGCGGACGACUUGCUGAAGAAGUUUUUAACAACUGCAUGCUUUGGCCUGUGCAUCCCAAGCACUUUCCGAACUGUUAAUCUUGUUUUCUUCGGCCGUCGAGUACCAGAUGCCUGGUGGAUUAUACCGGAAUCCUGCAAAAUCCGAGCAACAAUAAUGUCGUAUUUAUUAUGCUCUUUUCCCUGCUUAGAAUGAAACAAACUUCACCUGAUCGAUAGUUUUAAAAGUGAUACAAAAAACGUUUUAAAAAAAUUAAAUUUAAUUAAAUUUACACCAUGUUUUCCUAAUGUACUAGCUAGUAACAGCCUGACUUAAAUGAUGCCUAUUUACAGUAUGAGAUUAAGAAAAAGGUUGCCGGAAACGGAUAGAACAAUGACCAAGCCAUCAAUGAAUGCAAUUAAAUUUACACGUAUUUGGUGAUCAAGUCCAAAAUUAGAAACUCAACAGGCAAAAGGUGUUGGGAAUUCACGGUAUCACAAUUCUUCGCGCUCUAGUUGUAACUUGUAAGAGAAGAGAUCUAAAGGUGAGAGGAAACUCAAAAGCCAAACUACUAUUGAAGCGAUUAUCAGCAAAACAUAAGGGCACUACCUCAUCUGAAAGUGUGAGUGUGACAUUGUCCUUGGGCCUCUCCAUCUAUAUUCUCGAUCACCUCUCUGCCAUGGUUACCUGCACGGCAAUGAAAUUGCUAGCAUAAAUCUCUUUUGGUGCCCCAUAAAAGGUAGUAAAAGAUUAAUCAUCUGGUACAAGAACCGAAGCGCUUAUAAUUAUAUCAGUAGUUCCAAAACUAAUAAGUCAGUUAACGGCUCUUUUAAACUCAUAAUCUAGUAGUCUAGAGAAAAACAAAUUCGUAACAGCUAAACGAAUGUUGUUAUCGGGUUGGGGUUUGAAGACGUUAUCGUCCGAAAGUCUUCCGGCCGUUUGUUAUCUACUUGCUACAAUAACUUCAAAGAUACGCAGUGUCGAAGAUUGAAAAUGCGCAAAAGAGUAAAAGGUGCAUGGCCGUAAGUAAACAGGAGUCAUUAACUCAAUUACCGCCGGCGGCAGGCCACCACCCUUGGAGCUGUCAUCUGAAUCGGAACCAGCGAUGCAAUACUCCUUAAAGCUUGGGGAUGCAAUCCAUAAGGGCCAUCAUAAUCAGAAAUUUUGGCUCCUACUUCUUCAAGUUCAUCACGCUCGGAAUUAUUGUCAUUGUCGAGGUGAUGAUGAUUGGUAGGGGAGAUAGCAGCAUCAUGGUGGUUGACGUCCCUUGUGCUUUUGGUCUCCUUCAAAUCUGGGACUAGUACCGCCCCUUCAUCUGCUGACCCAAGCCUAUGGAGCAGUAUUAAAUUUACACCACCGUCUCCCUCUGCAAGCGUACGAUCAUCAUAUGUUGCCUCGUCGUUGUAAAUGUGUUGGAGAGGCGGAGGAAGCACGCAUUUAUUUGUGGGAUGGUAAUUAGGUUUCGGGUGCGGUCGUAGAUCUUGAUGAUCACCACCGCCAUGCAUCAAUGACGACGUGGACUUUGUUGGAAAACCUAGGGUGAACAGCUUGGACGGUGAGGAAAGAGUAGUAGUGGUUGGAGGAGGAGAAGAGGAAUUGGAGGCGCUGGUGACGGUGUUCUUGGCUAUUAUAUUUAUACCGCAACGAUGAUCACCCACUCUUUGUUUGUGACGUUCCUCCGUAGCAUCUCGUUGUUGGGAGUGGUAGAAUACGGAAAUACCGCAACCCAUUGAAAGAGGAACAUUCUAUUUUUAUUAUUAUUAUUAUUACUACGUUGUUGUUGGUUUGGGGAACAGCCGACAGGACGCAGCUCCGCGGGCGGUUUUGGGGGGCAAUGGUGUUGAUAGCUUGGUGAGAAGAGUUGGUGAUGCAAGGGCCAGAGGGGGAAACGAUGGCAAGAAUGACAACGGUCAAAUUGACAAGUUAGUACGAUUGUGAGAAGGGUAACAAUAAUUGGGAUGGACGUGGACGGGGCAAAUAUGGUACUAUGUCAUUUCCAAUCCAACUGUCUAUCCAUUCCACCUACCGAAAAAAAGACGAACACAGGGAGAGUCGGAGGCCGAAUUUCGUGUAUGGAAAGAUGGAUGCCAAGUCGUCAACAGUAACGGGAACUUCGGGUUUGAGCUUGAAGUCGUCUUUGGACUCCCAUGCGCCAAGGAUCCAAGCCAAGAGCCAAGAAUGAUCGUCCCCCAAAUUGCCCGAUUUGCCACUACGUACUAAAAAUCUCAAAAUCCCCAUUCAAUGCCACCUACAAAUUUACCUGUUUCUCGGUCUGGAAAAUUUCACCAAACUACUUGUCCCAAAAAUAAGAAAAAAAUUUUAUAAAUCACAUUUUGCUUGAUGACGAUGGAUCAUCAUUUGGUUCUCUAUCCAUGAAUAGGGCUGACAAAACGAACCAAGCAAUUCGGUUUAAUCUCAACUCGUGUUUGAGCUACUUGAGCUUAGUUAUCAAGUCGGAUUCGAGUAUCUAACUAAUCUGCUCCAAAGCUUGCCGAAUAAAUUACACAUCUUAUCACUCAAAUUCGAGCAGCUUCAGCUUCACCUCAACUUCGAACUCAAACUUAAUCUUAAUUUGAUUCUCGAGCGAGUUUGAACUCGAUUCGAGCACUCUAUUUUUACACGAGUUGGGCUCGAGCUUCAAAAUCGAAAGUUCAUCGAGCUCGUACUCAAACUCAAAUAUUACUCUUCGAUGUAUUCGAAUUUGAUUUGUCUCACUGCCACCCCUAUCCAUGAAUACAUAUAAUUAGGCCUAAAGUUUUGGACCAUUUAGUUCCACAUCAGAUUAUGGUUUGUCUGGAUUCUCUCGAGUGAAGUUGUAAAUAAAUCCAUACCAUUUUUGUGCUAUGUACCCUAUAAACAAGUAGUUACUACUGUUAUUUCGUUCAAGUUUUCUUUUUCGUAUAAACUAUUUUGCUCUUAGCCAUCCUGGGAGAAUUCUUGUUUGUGAUGAAAAAAAAAAAUCAUUCUACAAGUGGGGCGGUUUUUUUCAUUUGUUCUUGAAAUGGGGUCUUCGCAUUCGUGGAAUGCGAGGUCACUGAGCUCGCAUUCCGCGAAUGCGAGCUAAGUUUGGAAAAAAAAAAAAAAGGACCAAACUCCCGCAUUCCCGAACUGGGAUGCUUGCGCAAUCAGUGCUAACAAUGGCAGCACCAGCAAUGCAAGCAGCAGUAGUAUUGAAUUGCAAAGCAACUGUUCAUUCUUCGACAACAAUGGCAGGGUUGGACUGAGUGAGGAAAAAGCAAAGAAAGAGCUUCAGGUAGCAGCGGGCAAAGGAGAAAGAAAAAGUACCGAGAAAGAGAGGGGAGAUUGAGGAGAAGUGACGGUUGAAGCGGAAAGGAAAACCAGAGAGAGAGUAAGGGAGGAAGAGAGACUGUGGGGAGCCAAAAAGGAGAGAAAAUCAGUAGAAAAAAAAAGAGAAAAUGUGCAGAAAAUGUGGGUGAACAUUUCGAGCCAGGGUUGGAUAUCUGGCUUUCAUGAGCGAAAUCCGAUCUGAAUUUGGGUUGUAUAAGUAACUUCUUCAUUUCUGCAUCAUCUGCACUUGAAGGGGAAGAUCUUUUGUUCACAAAAUUUCAAAAAAAACACCUCUAUGUCUGUUUUUCUUUUCUUUUUUUUUUUGAUUUGGAUGGUAGGAAAAUUCAGGGAGACCUCGCAUUUGCUGAAUGCGAGCUCCCUUGAGCUCGCAUUUGCUGAAUGCGAAGACCCCUUGACGGAACUCCAUACAAAAAAGGCCCCCUUUGUAGAAUUUUUUUAAAAAUCAUCAUAAUUUUAGAAAUUUCUCUAGCCAUCAUAGGCAACAUCAUAAAUCACGACUGAUUGAUUGUGUUCAAUGUUAGUAGACAGCAAUUGUUUAAGGGCGUUUGGAUAAAAAGAUUUUGGCUGAAUUCGGAUUCCAAAUCCCCUUGGUUGUUUUGAUCACGUUGAGGUGAUUGGAAUUAAAAUUCAUGAGAAUCGAUGGAUUUCCAAAGCUAAAACUAAUAAAAUUUCAAAUCCUUCUGAUCAUAUUAGGUGUUAUUUGAAAUCCUCCUGCUCAGAUCUCCCAUCCCUUCUCUAAACUAAAGAUUGAGAGCCCAGAAGAACGACAGCAAACUGGUGGUGCCGUCAACAUCUUUUGCGGCCGGUGAAAUUGCCGGAAUUCGAAAUCACCAAAAAUUGGAUCACGGUUAGAACUUUUCCGUUUUUGACUAGUUAUAUCGUUACUGUUUUCCAGACGUCUUGUCUCGGUAACUGCUGCUGCAUCUUUUGAGGAGGUUUCUCGUUUGGGUUCCUGGAAUUGGCCAGGAAUCCAUGUGAUGAAUGAACUUGGCGGCAGCUGUAAUUGUAUACCCAGUUCAUAGGCAGUGGAUGUUAGUUAUAUUUACACCGCAAGGGUCACUGGCCCCGAGUCAUGGUUUACUAGUAAAGGGCGAUGUUGCAGGUGCAGCCCAACCAACAAAUCGGUAAAAAAAAGGGGGGGGGUAAAAAAAAUCUCAAGGAAGUGGUGAGGAAAGACGAAAUCUCUUCCUUUCUAAUUCAUGCAUGUAAGAAAGCAGCAAAAAGUCCUACUGUACAAUGGCUCUACAUCAACAAGUUGAAUGGUACCACGAGUCGAGUGGAGAACUAACGUAUCAUACUACUGGCAUAUGGGGUGCCUCUGCUCUUUAACUUGGAAAUAGACCAAUUUAUGUGCAAUCAUGGAGGUCAGGCAAGCGAACAGGAAAAGAAAAAGAAGGAUUACGGUCAAAUAACUUG